UGGUGGUAGGUAUUGUUUAGGUGACUGCUUACUGUUUUUUUGACAAGCUUAGUGCUUGAUUUAUGUAUUGGCAUUAUGCCAUUGUUCUACUUGUGAAUGAAUCUGAUUUUGUUCAUCAAAAUACUCUCCAUUUUUCUUUGUUAUUCUUCCUUGUUUUGCUUCGAAUUUGGUUGUUUGCUCAGCAAGUAUCGAGGCUUGCUGCACAAGACACAAGCUGAGCUUGUCUGAUUCUGUUAAAACACCAACAAUAACAAUGGUGGUGGCUCCUGGGAAAGAAGCGAAAGAAGGGAGAGGAUGGAUUUUGAGAAAAUACCUUUUGAUCAAUUUUUUAUGAACGUGUACAAAUUUUGAGAAUUAAGUUUAAAGAUACUCCAAUUUAAAAAUUAAAAUUAAUGAGUGGGAAAAAAACUCCCUCUUUCCCCUUCUCCAAUAUUAUAUUGAUAAAAAAAAUUAAACAUUCUUUCAAAUUAUACUUUAUUUAUUAGACAUUUGCAUUAAAUUUUAACUUUUAAAAAACCCCAAAAAGAUGCCAUUGAAGCUUUUGCAUGGUAGACAAAGGCUGAGACGUCAUUUACAAGUGUGAUAUGUGGAUAUCUCUCUUCCCCUUCCCCUUCCCCUUCCCCUUCCCCUUCGCCUAAGUUUUCUCUCUACCAUACCUCUUUUCAUCAUCUUCUUCUUGCAUUUGUUCAAUCAUCACAAACCCAGAAAUUAAUCAAAAAUUAUAAAGUACAAGAAUCACCGUCCGAAAAGAAAUCUCAAGUAAAGUUCUUUCGUCUAAUGCUACCAAUUACUUAUCGGCAUUACUGAAGAUCUUUUAAAAAUUUUGUAACUACUGUUUCUGCGUGCUAAUUAACUUUCACGUUCUGGUAUUGGAUCGAAGUUGCUUGGGUUUACAACUUAAUUUUUGGAUAUUAUGGGAUAAUGAUGUUAAAAUCGCAAACCAUAUAAGAUAGAAGGUUGCCCAUUAUGAUUAUACUCCUCCAAGAUUGAUAUCUUGUAACUAUAUUACCUGGACUCAAUGGUGGGUGUUUGAAAUGGAUACCAAUCAUUUUAAUUAAUGCUAUAAUUGAAUUAUAAUGUAUAAGAAGAAAACUUAAUUUUACAAGCUGGUUUUGCUCUUCAUUUGGUUGCUGGGUUUCAAUUUUACCAAGUGAUUAUUCGUUUUGGUCCAUUUUUAGCUUUUUUAUUGUGGGAUUUAAAGCUAAGGCACUUAAUCAAUCUGAGAUUUUGCAUGGAUAUGGGGUUAAAAAAUGGGAGCAUGGGUGUAAAGGAAAAUCACCAAGGAAAUGGAGCAUGGGUGUAGUCUCUAAUUAUAUUAUGGACUGUAGAAAGUCAAGCUGGGCUUAACAAUUAAUACUAAUAACAUAUUCAAGUAAUGAAUUUGGUUUUCUUCCUGAACCUUUAAUUUUGAGCACUUUGAUUUAAUUAAGUACAUUGAAUUCAUUGACAUGAUUGAUCAGCACGCAUGCAUGGUCCGUGGACAGAAUGUAUGAUUGUUAAUUUUGCAGUCCAUGAUCUUCACCAUCUCCUCUAAGCACCAUAUAGAGGAAGCAUAGCCUUUGGAGAAAACAAUAACUGAAACCCUCCAUUCUUCAAUGGCCUUCAAUAGUGCGUCUGAAAUUUCAUCGUACAGAUGACUUAUGAAACCAUAACGAGUAUCUUCACCUCUGAAACUAAGAAAAACAUCGUACCUCGUUGCUUUGAUCAAAGAAGAAGAAGAAAAGAUAUUAGAUGUUGGAUGAGAGAGUAUUCGAUUAGCAGUAAAUCAUUUUUCUUUUCUAGUCAAUUACGCCUACAUUGGGUCUUUCUUAGAAAUACCCAUAGUACUUCACAUCAACUGCAAAAGCUACAUUGAAAUCAUCCAUUGUCGGCAGGGGAACAGAUAAGCGUAAUAACCCAGAGAAAAUUUUAUUUAACAUGCAUGUUAAAUUAAUCUGUGAUAAUAUAAGAAAUAAGUAAUAAAAUAUUUAAUAGAUAAAUUUAAAAUAUAUAAUACACAUAUUUUAUUUUGUUUGAGAUAUAUUAUUUUAUGAAAUACCAUUCUCACCAAAAUUUGAAUACACCACAAAUUAUUAAAAAAAACUAAAAAAUAUAGCUACAACACAUACAUUAAACUAGUUAUGUCGCAUUUCUUUUAGCUUGAUAUUGUUUUAAAUUUCUUAAAAUAUAAUACAUCUUAUAUAUAUAUAUGAGUGUGUAUAUACCCAUCAAUUAUAUCAGAGCAAUGGGUCCUGAGUUUCUCCUUUUAUGAGUGGAAAGUGGACUGAUUUGUAUUUUUUAAAGGAGGAUAUGGGCUUUCUUUUAUUGAUUUCUUUUUAUUUAAAAAAAAUUAAAUUCAAUGGAUUUAAUGAUUAGUUCUUAAAAUAUGGUUAAGUAUGCUUCAAUUAUUCAGAUUUUGUGUCUCUAUUUUUUAAGAAAAUUUAAUUUAAUUGUGAAAGUAUCUCGAGUUAUUAUUAUUAUUUAUUGUAUCUCUCUUUCUUCGAUUAUUUAGGCAUCAUCCAUCACUAAUGAAAGACACAAACACUGAUAAUUAUUUUCUUUUUUCUUUUUGAAAAACUUUUAAAGAAAUCAGUGAUUAUUUACAUGGUUUUUAGAAUUGGAUUAGUCAUUGAAUUCAGUUUUAUUAGUUCAAAUAAUUUGAUCGGUUCAUUCAAUUUGAUUAAAUAAAUUAUUAAAAAUUUAUUAAAAAUCUAAUUCAACUAAUCGAUCCAAUCUGGUUCAAACAACCUUAACCAUAUACUUGAAUGGUUUUGAGAUCAAGUAAAUUUGACUUUGAGUCAAUUACCAAACUUUUAUUUUUAAUACAAAUAUUUUUAUUUAAAUUAAAGGCAUAAUGUCUUUUUUGACUCUCCAACUUUACAAAAAAAAUCAUUUUAGCCCUUCAUUUAAUUUUUUCUUCUUUUAGCCCUUAAACAUGUAUUGUUUGUCAGAUUACCCCAAAAUGAAUGCAAAAAUUAGUAUAUAUUAACUUUAUUGACGUGACAUUUAUAUGGAUUACUAUGUAUAUGUCACGUCAACAAAUAAUAAUUUUUUAGAAUUUUAAAAAUUUUAAAAAUUAAUUUAAAAAUUAAAAUUAUUAACAGUAUACAAAUUAUAAAAAAUAUUUUUAAUACUUUUAAAUUUUUAAAAAUUAAUUAAUUGCUGAUCAUAUACGUGAAUAUCACAUCAAUAAAAUAAAUAUAUAUUUAACUUUUUUUAUUAUCUAUUUUAGAAUAAUUUAAUAAAUAAAAUAAAUUUAAGAGUUAAAAAAGAUACAAAAAUUUAAACAGAAAAUUAAAUAAUUUUUUUAUAAAAUUAGAGGAACAAAUAAAUCCUCUUACCUAAGUUAAAUUAUAUAAAUAAUAACAGCAGCACAGGUUGGAAUUGGUGAUCUCAAUAGAAGUAAAAUCCAAACCAUAAAUUACGGAACCGCCCGAAAAAGGAAAAGUAAAAUGAGUGAAGAAAAAUGUAAAAAUUAUAUUUAUAUAAAGCUUCGGUUAAAUGUAAAGUUGAAAAAAAAAAUUUGAAAAGAAAAAUCCUAAAGCACACUUACAAAAACUGACAUUCUCCUAUGCUAUUAAUUAAACAAUUCCUUGAAAGAUAAUUUAAGGUAUACUACGCGUAGAUGAUCUUCGAUUCGUUAUACUGCUUUGCCCAACUUGUAGAAGUUUAAUAGUAAAGUUAAAUAUUUAAAAUUUAAUGUUUAUCUGAGAUUUUAGAUUGAUUUUAUACAAGAUAAUAUAAAAACACUCACUUUUAUUUUAUGGAAGAUAAAAACACUUUCAUAAUAAUAUAACUUAGAUUAUAUAAAUACUAAUUUUUCUUCAUUGUCCAAAUAAAUUUAUGCUCGAUUUGUUGAGCAAGUUUUGAGAGAAGUAACUUAAGAAGUGACCAUUGCACUUGAGACUAUGUUAGAUACAUAAUUUAUCUUAGUUGCUAGCAUGGCAAAGCCAGAACAAUUUUUUAAGGGGGCCGAAUGAAAUUUUAAUUUUUUAUAGUUUAUAUCUUUAUAAUUUUUAAAUGAUUAAAUCAAAUUUUUAUAAUUUUAGGAGGGUCAAAGUAUAAUUUUAUCUUUACUAAUUUAAAAUUUUAAAAAAUUUUAAAAAACCUAAAUUGCAACUCUUCAUUUUAGGAGGGCCAGCCCCUACUAGUCCCUAGGUUCACCUCUGAUUCCGACAACGUGAAAGUUCAACUUAUUGGUCAUGGAUGUUUAUCUUAUAGCUUACAUUUUGGAUAUGAAUCAUAAGGAUUAUUAUUUGCUUAUAAUAUAAGAUUUAAAAUGACUUCUUACAAAAUAAUGCUGGAAAUCACAUUAAGGCAUGAAGCUUGGUUCUAAUUCCAGUAAGAUAUAAAAGAGAAAAAAAAAAAAGCAGUUCUACUAUACAUGGAAGGCUGGUUUCAUCAUAAUAAGAGGCUUCCUCGGAGAAAAUUGAUAACCUUAAACGCUUAAAUAGAAGAAUACCUUUGUUAACGGAAACCUCCUUCUCAGUGGAUUGACCUCUGUUAGCCUUAUUUGAACCUGUUGAAGGGCGAUUUUCACGGGACUGGUGAUUAGUACCUGAGACAAUACGUAAAAGAUUUGAUACGUACAACUAUAGGGAGGCAAUAAAGGAGAAAAGUCUUUGCCAAAGGGUAGAACUGUGGGACAUUGCCACCGGAUUUCCAAGUGGAGAAGGCCACUUUGAUGGCCGACGACACCCACUGGCCUGGGACAUGGCUCAAUCCAAUUGCUGACCAUUCCAAGGGAGACCAUGCUGGAAUCUUACAGGUAUUUUUCUUUUUCCUUUUCGAGUUUUUCGAUCAAACUAAUGGAACCCAUUUUUGUUUUAAAGAUGAUUGAUUAAUGGAAUGUGUGAUAGGUGAUGAGUAAAUUCCCAGAAUCUGAUCCGGUGAUGGGUUAGUUAGAUGAGAAAAAGUUAGAUUUCACAGGGGUGACUUAAGAAUACCAAUGUUCUCGUACGUUUCAAAGGAGAAACGUUUUGAUCAUAACAAGAGGCUACGAAAACGCUUCUUGCGAGAAAUGUUUUCAAUUCAGGGGUAACAGAGAGGUUGAAAGUGUUUUUGUAGUGCAUUUUCAGCUUUUUUCCUAUUUUCUUUUUGUUUUCAGUUUAUUUUCUUAAAUUUUGAGAUUUCAUUUUAUAAUAGGCAUAUUAAUUGCCUAAUUAACCCAAACCAAAAAGCUUGUAACUUCAUUGGGGGGGGGGGGGAACAUGGCAUUGAAAAUCUUUGUGCCACUUUAAAAUGCGCCCAAUAUAUUAAGAUCACGGGCACAAGUAGAAAUAUUUUUAGGGGCUAAAAUUAAAUAAUAAUUUAUUAAGAGAUUAAAAUAUAGUUUUAUAAUGUAUUAAUUUAUUAUUUUUCAUAUUUUUGAAGGAAUUAAACAUAAUUUAUUUCAUUUUAGAAGGUUAAAGUAUUAUUAUAAAUUAAAUUUUAAUUUAAUUAUUUUAUACUUAAAUAAAAAAAUUUCAUUUGAAAAGGGCUAAGCCCCUACCUUUCCCCACAUAUUUACCACUGAUUGAGAGUUUACUUUAUGGAUAAUGGAAUAAUUUAGGGGUGAAUUAGGCUAAUAAUAAGAUUGCAUUUCAGUUAAUUAACUUUGAAAAGUUAUAUAAUAGUUAUUAAAAUUAUCAAAUUGUGACAUAGCAUGUUGAUUUAAAAGGUUAACAAUGAAUUUGAACCCUGAGUUAUAGUUAUAAUCUCAUUUUGAUACUUUUAAUAUUUUCUUAACAAUAAUUUUAAAAAUAAUUUUAAAGAUUUUAAAAGUAAAUAAAUAAAUUUAAAAAUUACAAUUUAUAAAAAAAAUAUUAUAAACAAUUUCCAAAAUAUUAAAAAAUAUAAUAUGAUUAUUAAACAAUCGGUUGACGGGAAUAAGCAUUUUCUUGUUGUUUAGCAUUGGGUAUUUUUCCAGUGAACGGAUUGAUUAAUGAUGAAGAAAAUUCUUAUUUGAAAGUAUCCACUGACGGAAAUUCACAGCUUAACAACAUCGAGCACAAGCUCGAGACACUGACAUGAGAUGAAACAAUGUCAUGAGAGGCUAAAUCGAAAUUACAAAAAGCGAGAAAAAAGGGCUAUUGGAGAUAGCAAACACAAUGGUUAAAUGUUCAGCUUAGGUAAAAAAAAGUAAAAUUACUCACAUUUAGGAUAUGUAGAAGUUUAUGUUACAUACAUUGGGUUUGGAUUUUUAUGAAAUAUUAAUACAUACAAGGGAGUACGUUGUUGGAGAUGGGAAAAUUGGGUGUAAAAAAAUCUGAGUUUUAGGUAGAAGAAGACCUAAAGUGACAUUCACAUCUAAAGUGAAAUUUUGUGUCAUCAGAAUAGUCUUGGAAUGAAACUGCGAAGCCUGGAAUGUUUUUUCUUGCCAUAACAGUACCACUCCGAAGGCAGUUGGAUGCUUAUAGACGAACCUAAGCUUCUGAAAUGAAUCCAUUCCGGGAUUUCACUUCCAGGGACGCAAGCAAUAACCUUAUUUCUUUGAGAGCACCCCUGUUCGAUUACAAUUAUUAGAAACAUGAUACGAUUAUUCAACAUAUAAAUUUGACAGAUUGAAGAUAUAGAAGAAGAAGAAGAACUUGACCUGAUGUAUGCCCAAAUAGCAUCUGCAGCUUUGAUGUUCCAGGAUUGCCGACAGCUUCUUGGUCCAGUUGGAAGCAAUUGGUAAAUAGCCAAACCAAGGAUCGAAAUGGUUAAUCCUUACAAAGUAGUGCCUGCUCAAAGAGCUUCUUAAUGCUUGAGACUUCCUCUAGUGAAGUGCAGUCAUGUGCAUCCAAAUGUCCUAGGCUCGGUGGAAGCUCUGGUAAUGAUUUCAGUCUCUUGCAUUUCCACAAGAUUAACUCUUCCAACCAAGGAGGUUGUUUGAUGGUUGUUGGCAAGUUCUCAAUAUUGGUUCCAGAUAAAUCUAAUGUCUUCAAUGAGGACAAUCCAUGGAGAUCCUUCUGCAUCUCUGGUCUGCCUGUUAAGGAAGCUACCGCAAUGGCAGAAAACAAGUUUUUAACAACACGAUUUGAACAACUAUAAAGAUGAAGAUGGUGAAGAGAUUUCAAUUUAUAAAAGUUGUCGGGAAGACAAACAAGGUUUUCACAAUUGUACAGUCUCAAUUCCAUAAGACCAAUAAGAUUCUCCACAGAGGUUGGUAACUCCUUCAAAGUCGUUCCAUUUAAAUCAAUAUCCCUCAACCUCUUCAGAAAAGUCUCCAAUAUUGAGCGCCUUUAAGAUAUAAUAAGUACUUGUGAAUGUAAAGAAAAAGAACUUGAAUUACCGAGUAACUUGUGAAUUCCAACCGGAUAAAUUGGCAGCAGACGUCAAAGCACUUCUCCAGGAUUUCACCUUUUCAACAUCAUGCUUUAAAUUUGCUUCAUGCUUCGAAAAUGCAUCAGCAACACUCCCUCUUUGUUUCCUUACAUCUGGGGGGUCUACACUGUAAAAAACAGGAACAACACAUUUGUUGCAGUCCAUGAUCUUGACCAGCUCAUCCAAGCACCAUUUGGAAGAAGCUUACUCUUUGGAGAAAAUAAUGACUGAAACCCUCGCUCCUUCAAUGGCCGUUAACAGUGCCUCUGAAAUCUCAUCUCCUCUUGGAAGCUUCUCGCUGUCUAUAAAAGUUUCGAUAUUCUUCCAACGCAAAUCUUUAUACAGAUGACUCACGAAACCAUCACGAGUAUCCUCGCCUCUGAAGCUAAGGAAAACAUCAUAUGUCCUUGCUUUGAUCAUAUCAGCAGCAGCAGCAGAAGAAGAUGAUGUUGAAGCAAGCAUAGUGUUAAGAAAAUGAAUGUAAGAUUAAUGAUGGAUACCUUCAUUCAAGUAGAAGAGUAGUAAAUAUAUACACAUGACUGUAACUAACCCUACUGCAGCCUAACUAACCCUACUGCUAAUUACACGUUUGUUAACUAAUAACUAACGGUACAUAAAUGCCACUUUAACAGACGUAUACUCUCAACAUGCCCCCUCAAGUUGGCGGAUGAAAAAUAUCUUUCAGCCCCAACUUGGACACUAAGUACUGAUGCUGAGAAAUUCCUAAGCCUUUAGUAAGCAAAUCGGCCACUUGCUCAUUUGUAGAAAUAUGGUGUGUGACGACAUCGCCCGCUUGAAUUUUUUCACGAACAAAGUGACAAUCAAUGUCGAUAUGCUUGGUCCGUUCAUGAAAGACAGGAUUCGAAGCUAUUUGAAGGGCAGCCUGAUUAUCACAGUGUAGCAACAUAGGUUUGGAAACAUGAAAACCCAACUCAGCUAAUAAACCCUUUAACCAGACCAACUCUGCGACAGUAGUGGCCAUGCUUCGGUAUUCGGCUUCUACAGAUGAGCAAGACACAGUGGUCUGUUUUUUUGAUUUCCAGGAAACCAGGGAAUUGCCUAGUUUGACGUAAUAUCCGGUGACGGACUUGCGAGUCAUGGGACAAGAGGCCCAAUCAGAAUCACAGUAGGCUUGGAUGUCAGUGGUGCCUUCAGAGGAAAGAAAAAUACCUUGACCUGGACUUUUUUUAAGGUAUCGCACAAUACGUAAAGCAGCCUCAUAAUGUUCCCGUUUUGGCUUGUGCAUAAACUGACUAAGGUGUUGGACCCCAAAAGCAAUAUCUGGUCUAGUGUUGGUGAGAUAUAAGAGUCUCUCAAUAAGUCGUUGAUAGACACUCGCAUCCGUUAAUUCCGUACUAGUAUCAUGAAUAUCCAGUGCAGCAUCAUACUCCAAACUUGUCAGCUUUAAAUUCUGCUCCAAGGGUGUAUGCGCAGGUUUUGCAUCAAGUAAACCAAGAUCAGCAAUAAGUUCCAGAGCAUAUUUCCGUUGAUUCAUGAUGAUACCUGCUUUUGAUCUAGCAAUUUCAAUUCCAAGAAAGUACUUAAGAGUACCCAAGUUCUUCAUUUUAAAAUUCUGAUGGAGAGUAACUUGCAAGUCUUCAAUCAUGGAGUUAUCAUUCCCAGUGAUCAAGAGAUCAUCAACAUAGAUAAGCAUGAUUACAAUCUUGUUACCGGAUGUUUUAACGAACAUGGAGUAAUCAUACCGACUCUGAAUAUAACCAGUGUUGAUGAGAGCCUCACUGAGUUUCAAAUUCCAUUGUCGAGAAGUCUGUUUUAAUCCAUAAAGAGAUUUGAGCAGCCGACAGACAUGAUUGCUCCCUGGAGUGUCAAAACCCUGAGGUAAAUGCAUGUAAACCUCUUCAUGAAUGUCACCUUGAAGAAAAGCAUUGUAAAUAUCCAUCUGAAUGAGAGGCCAAUCAUAGAGAGCAGCUAGAGCAACAAUAACUUUGACUAUAACCUGCUUGACAACCGGAGAAAAAGUAUCUUGAAAGUCAAUGCCUUCUUUUUGAUUAUAGCCUUUAGCUACUAACCGGGCCUUGUAGCGUUCAAUAGAACCAUCAGAAUUAUAUUUGAUGCGAAAAACUCAUUUACAACCAAUGGGAUGCUUGCCUGGUGGGAGGGGAACAAUCUCCCAAGUGGAGUUAGCUUCUAAAGCUUCAAUUUCCUGUUGCAUAGCAGCUUUCCAACAAUGAUGUUUAAUUGCCUCUUGGUAGGUACGCGGUUUAGAAAAGUGAGAAAUAGAGGCAGCAAAACAUUGAGUAGAGAAGGGUAGAUGAUGAUAAGUGAGAAAGUUAGAGAUAGAAUACUGACCGUGUACAGUAGUAGAAGAUGAUAAAGAUCGGGAUGAGGUGGAGCAAAUAUAAUCCUGCAACCAGGCAGGUGGCCAAGAGGUUCGGGUACUAUGGCGAGAUGGUGCAAGAGAAAUAGAAGGAAUAGAAAGGGAAGGUGGUGGUGGUGUACUGGAUGAAGUAAUAAGUAGAAAGUCAGGAUCAUGCAAAAAACCAAAAGCAUGCACGUCCAAAGGAAAAAGGGGUUGAUCUUUGGGUGGUGUUUUAAAAGGAAAAAUGGAUUCGUGAAAGACAACAUCGCGACUAACAAAAAACUUAUGUGACAUGGGAUUAAACAAAAUGUAACCUUUUUGUACCUGAGAAUAUCCCAUAAAAAUAGAUGGUGUGGCUCUUGGAGAAAAUUUGUCAUGAAAAGUGGUGACUGUAGUGUAACAAAGACAACCAAAUAUUCUAAGGUGCGAAAGGUUUGGUGGCUUGUGAUGCAAUAACUCAAAAGGUGUCUUCCAGCCAAGCACAGCAGAGGGCAAUCUAUUAAUCAAAUAGCAUGCAGUGAGAACACAUUCUCCCCAAAACUUAAUCGGGACUUGAGACUGGAACUUCAAAGCUCGCGCAAGCUCUAGAAGGUGACGGUGUUUGCGUUCAGCCACACCAUUUUGUUGUGGUGUGUGAACACAAGAGGAUUGAUGAACAAUUCCAAGGGGUGAAAAAAAAGAGAUCCUUCUUUAGUAAAAAACUCAUGACCAUUGUCACUGCGAACAACCUUAACUACUCCAGAAAACUGUAUCUUAGCCAUUGUGAUGAACUGUUUGAGAUAAAGAAAGGCAUCACUUUUGAGUUUUAAGAGAAAAAUCCAUGUCAUUCUAGUGUAAUCAUCAACAAUUGUUAAAAAAUAUCUGUGACUAGAGUGAGUAGAAACGCGAUAAGGACCCCAAAGAUCAACAUGAAUAAGGGAAAAAGGGUUGAUUUCCGGGAAUUACUAUGUGGAAAUGGUAAUCGGGUUUGUUUAGCUAAUGGACACACAGGACAAGUAGUAAUGCUAUGAGAGUUCAAAGAACUAUGUUGUAAAAAAGAACUUUUAUUCAUUGUCGAAAAGGAUGUGUGACCAAGUCUAGCAUGCCACAAAGAAUAAUCAACAUGCUUAGAGACAGAAGCAAAAGAUUUUACAGGAAAAGAUACUAGUGAUGAAAUGUGAGGUGAGGAUGAUUGAGGUAAAAGUAUAUAGAGGCCAUCGUGCUCUUUACCAAUCCCCAUCAUCCUUCCACUGCAAAGGUCCUAUAAAAUACAAAAGGUUGGAUAAAAAGAAACAAAACAAUUAAGAUCCUUGGUGAGCUUUGAAAUGGAGAGGAGGUUGAAAUGAAAAUGAUGAAGUUGGUUCAGCAUGCAGCAAACUCGACAGCAUGAAGGCCAUGAAGACCAAGUCAUGCAGGAGCUGCUGGAACGAGCUGAACUAUUCCUAUUUUGUUCAUCUUGUAAUCUUAAGUUAAUGUAAUGUACUUUAGUUCAUUUAGAACUAUGUUAGGUUUAUGAUUGAUGUAAUUUUGAUGACAAUUGAGCUGUUAAGUUAGCUUUGUUUAAGUGUGCAAGCUUAGUUUUUCAAGUUUCAAUGUAUUAGUGGUAGUAGGUGAUGAUUAGGUAUCAUUAUGCAGAUUUUGACAAGCAAAUUGCUUGGUUUAUGUAUUGGCAUUAUGCCAUUGUUCAACCUAUGAAUGAAGUUUUAGUUUGUUCAUCAAUUUCUCCCUUCAUUUUUCUUAGCUUUUCUUCCUUUCUCUUGCUCGAAUUCUUUUGUUUGCUCAACAAGUCUCAAGACUUGCUUAACAAGUUUGCACUGAAUCUGUUAGUUUCAGUUAUAGCACCAACAAUUGGUAUCUAGAGCCUAUUUCUUAAGGGAUCUGUUACACAAAUCCAUGGCUUCAUCAAGCUUUUCACCAGCUGCACCUCAAGUCUUCAAUGGAGAAGGCUAUCACAUAUGGGUGGUCAAAAUGAAGACCUACCUGCAGGCUUUCGAUCUGUGGGAGGUGGUCAACACUGAUGUUGAACCAGAGCCACUUAGAGCUAAUCCAACAGUGGCUCAGAUCAGGCAGCAUGCUGAUGAAAGGACCAAGAGGCACAAGGCUAUGUCUUGCAUCCAAAACUCAGUGUCUGAUGUGAUUUUCACAAGGAUUAUGGCCUGUGAAUCACCAAAACAGGCCUGGGACAAGUUGCAGGAAGAGUUUCAAGGGACAGAGAGGACAAGGCAGCAACAGUUGUUAAACUUGAGGAGAGAUUUCGAGAAUUUGAAGAUGAAGGAAGAAGAAACUGUCAAGCAAUAUUCUGACAGGAUUAUGGCUGUGGUUAACAGCAUCAGGCUCCUUGGAGAGCAGUUUAAUGAAGCUAGGAUAGUGGAGAAGGUUAUAGCAACUCUGCCUGAGAGGUAUGAGGCAAAAAUCUCAUCUCUCGAGGACUCAAGGGACCUGUCCACCAUCUCCCUGACAGAGUUGAUCAAUGCUCUAUAUGCUCAAGAGCAGAGGAGAGCAAGCAGACUGGAGGAGCACCAAGAAGGUGCCUUUCAGGCAAGAACAAAUACUGCCUACAAAGGCAAGAAGGCCUGGAGAGACAAGCCAAAUGAUGAUGCUACAAGGAGAGAAGGUCAGACUUGCAAGCACUGCAGAAAGGCUGGUCAUUCAGAAGAAAAAUGCUGGUUUAAUCCAGAUGCUGUGUGUCAGCAUUGUAAGAAAAAGGGUCAUGUUGAGAGAGUCUGUAAGAGCAAGGCCAAAUCAAGGCGUAAUCAGUCCCAACAGAUGAAAGCUGAGGCUCGAGUAGCUAAGGAGGACAGUGAUCAAGAGGAGCAAGUCUUUGCUGUGUCAUGCUCAGCUGCUCAGGAAAGGUCCUCAUCUGGUUGGCUCCUAGACAGUGGAUGUACCAACCACAUGACACCUGAUGCUGCAAUCUUCAAGUCUUUAGACAGAAGCUGCAGAACUAAAGUCAAGAUAGGAAAUGGUCAUUUUAUUCAAGCUGAAGGCAAGGGUGAUGUUCUGAUAUGCACCAUUACAGGUACCAAAGUGAUUUCAAAUGUGCUGUUGGUGCCUGAAAUUGACAGAAACCUGCUCAGCAUAGCUCAGUUGCUGGAAAAAGGUUAUUCAGUUGUGUUUAAAGACCACCAAUGCCAAAUUAGUGAUCCAAGUGGAUCCAAACUGAUGGCAGUCCCUAUGGCUGAUAAGAGCUUUGUGGUUGACUGGACAAAAAAGUCAGACAUUGCCUACACAGCCACUUCAGAUGAAUCCAAGCUGUGGCAUCAAAGACUGGGACAUGCCAACUUCAGAUCGAUGGCCCGAAUGAUCAGAGAAGACCUGGCUGAAAACUUCAUCAACUCAGUGGACCAUGAUGAUGUAUGUGAAGUAUGUCAGCUAGGAAAGCAAGCCAGACUCCCAUUUCCAUCGAAUCAAGCCUGGAGAGCCUCUGAAAAACUCCAACUGGUGCAUACUGAUGUGUGUGGCCCUAUGAAGACUGAGUCAUUAAGUGGAAACAGGUAUUUCAUACUGUUCAUUGAUGAUUUCUCGAGAUAUUGCUGGAUUUACUUCUUAAAACAGAAAUCAGAGGUGGCCACUGUGUUUUGGAAGUUCAAAACUGCUGCUGAGACUGAAACAGGCUGCAAGGUAAAGACCAUAAGGUCUGAUAAUGGAACUGAGUACACCUCAGCUCAGUUCCAAGCCUUCUGUGAUAAGGCAGGCAUCAAACAUCAACUUACCAACACAUAUACACCUCAGCAGAAUGGGGUAAGUGAAAGGAAGAAUAAGAGUUUGAUGGAUAUGGCCAGGUGCUUGAUGAUUCAGAAGAAUCUACCUAAAGCACUAUGGGCAGAAGCAGUUAACACUGCAACAUACAUUCAAAAUAGACUUCCAACCAAGGCUUUGGAUCAAAAGACCCCAUUCGAGGCCUGGUUUAGCUUCAAGCCAUCACUGGCUCAUCUGAAAGUCUUUGGAUGCAUCUGUUAUGCACAUCUACCUGCUGUUAAAAGGGACAAAUUGUCUGAAAGGGCUCGACCUGGUGUUUUGGUGGGCUAUAGCACUGUUAAGAAGGGCUAUAGGAUUUUAGAUCCUUCAACAAACAAAGUGUCAGUAAGCAGGGAUGUGGUAUUUGAUGAGAGGUCAUGUUGGAACUGGGAAAGACAUGAACCUGAAGAAGUUUCUGAAGAACUUGCAAUAGACCAAGCUGAGCCAGACCAAAAUGUCCCUGAAAUGGAUAUUAAUGAUGAACCAGUCAGAGGAACAAGGCCAUUGGCUGAAAUUUAUGAAAGGGCUCAUGUAGCCAUAGCUGAACCAAACAACUUUGAAGAGGCUGAGGCUCAGCAAGGGUGGAAGCAGGCAAUGGCUGAGGAGAUCAGCAUGAUUGAGAAGAGCCAGACCUGGGAAUUGGUUGAAAGGUCAGUCAAAAGGAAGGUGAUUGGGGUGAAAUGGGUGUAUAAAGCCAAGCAGAAUGCUGAUGGUACCUUGAACAAGCUGAAAGCAAGGCUAGUUGUCAAGGGGUUCAGUCAGAGGUAUGGCUUGGACUACCUAGAGACCUUUGCACCAGUGGCCAGGCUCGACACCAUCAGACUGCUGAUUGCCUUAGCAGCACAGCUCGAAUGGAAGAUCCAUCAACUUGAUGUGAAAUCAGCCUUUCUGAAUAGUUUCUUAGAUGAAGACAUCUAUGUUGAACAACCACAAGGGUUUGAAAUAGCUGGCAGAGAGCAUAUGGUCUACAAACUGAAGAAGGCCCUAUAUGGAUUAAAACAGGCUCCAAGGGCUUGGUAUAGCAGAAUCGAUGGCUACUUGACUGAUCUGGGAUUCGAUCGAAGCAAGAGUGAGCCAACACUGUAUGUCAAGAAACAAGGGACACAAAUACAACUCAUUGUGUCCCUGUAUGUUGAUGAUCUUCUGGUGACAGGAGGAGAUCGAGUAGUGCUGGCUGAUUUCAAGACCAAGAUGCAGGAAGUGUUUGAAAUGUCUGAUCUUGGGGAGAUGUCAUACUUUCUUGGAAUGGAGGUGUCUCAAGUGCAGAAUGAGAUAUUUUUAAGCCAGAGAAGCUUUGCCACAAAGAUUCUGACCAAGUUCUCCAUGCAAAACAGCAAGGCAACUAAAACACCUGUUGCUGUUGAAGAAAAACUAUCGAGCCAAGGUGAUUUUAAGAAAGUUUGUGAAACAACCUACAGGAGUCUAGUUGGUUGCUUGCUAUACUUGACUGCCACUAGACCAGACAUCAUGUAUGCUGUAGGAUUGCUCUCAAGGUUCUUGCAUUGCUGCAAUGAGAAGCAUUUCCAAGCUGCAAAGAGAGUGCUGAGAUAUGUCAAAGGCACUUUAAACUAUGGUUUGAAGUACAGCAAAGAAGGAAAUCUGAAGCUGGUUGGCUACAUUGAUAGUGACUGGGCUGGCUCGAUAGAUGACAUGAAAAGCACCUCAGGGUAUGCUUUUAACCUUGGUUCAACCAUGUUUUGCUGGAGCUCAAAGAAGCAAAGUCUAGUAGCUCAAUCUACUACUGAAGCAGAGUAUGUGGCAACAGCAAGUGCUGUCAACCAAGCCAUAUGGCUAAGGAAAAUAUUGGCUGAUUUGAAUGUGCAUCAAGAGGAAGCUACUGAGAUCUUCUGUGACAACCAAUCUGCAGUAGCAAUUGCUAAAAAUCCAGUGUUCCAUGGAAGAACAAAACAUUUCAGCAUCAAGUUGCAUGUUGUUCGAGAAAUGGAGCAAGCUCAGGAAGUAAAGCUGAUCCACUGUAAUUCAGAGGAUCAACUUGCAGACAUUUUAACCAAAGCCCUUAGUGUCACAAGGUUCGAAUGUCUAAGAAAGAAGCUAGGUGUUUGCUCCAUGCAAACCAAGGAGGAGUGAUGAAGUUGGUUCAGCAUGCAGCAAACUCGACAGCAUGCAGGCCAUGAAGACCAAGUCAUGCAGGAGCUGCUGGAACGAGCUGAACUAUUCCUAUUUUGUUCAUCUUGUAAUCUUAAGUUAAUGUAAUGUACUUUAGUUCAUUUAGAACUAUGUUAGGUUUAUGAUUGAUGUAAUUUUGAUGACAAUUGAGCUGUUAAGUCAGCUUUGUUUAAGUGUGCAAGCUUAGUUUUUCAAGUUUCAAUGUAUUAGUGGUAGUAGGUGAUGAUUAGGUAUCAUUAUGCAGAUUUUGACAAGCAAAUUGCUUGGUUUAUGUAUUGGCAUUAUGCCAUUGUUCAACCUAUGAAUGAAGUUUUAGUUUGUUCAUCAAUUUCUCCCUUCAUUUUUCUUAGCUUUUCUUCCUUUCUCUUGCUCGAAUUCUUUUGUUUGUUCAACAAGUCUCGAGACUUGCUUAACAAGUUUGCACUGAAUCUGUUAGUUUCAGUUAUAGCACCAACAGAAAAGAAGAUACAUAAAGAACGUCUCUGAGGGUAUGGUGAGGUGUAAGGUUAUAGUUACCAACAUGAGUGACAGUGGCUGUAUGACCAGUAGGCAACUUGACAAAAGAGUUGUUAGCACAUGCAACAGGAUGAAUUAAAGAAUUAAAAGCAUGAGUCAUAUGAUUGGAAGCACCAGUAUCCAGGAUCCAAUGAAUCGGACUCGAAUUAGAGGAUGUACCUGCCAUUUGAGCAACAGCUUGCACGGAGGAUUCCUUAUUCAAUAGAUUCAAUAACUGUUGAUACUGUUCGACAGUAAAUGUUGGAGCAGAAAUAACAGAUGAUGAAGAUGCAGGUAAAGCAGAUGAAUCAGAGGAAGGAACAACAACAUUGUUUGCAGUUGGUGAUCUCUUUUUAGUAAACUUGAAAUCAGUAGGAAAACCAUUAAGCCGAUAACAGUCUGUUCGAAUAUGACCCUUCUUUUGGCAAUAAGAACAGAUCAAAUCAGAACGUCGCUUGAGAGCAGAAGAACUGGACGGGUGCUGACUAAGAAGUGCAGUCGGCUCAGAGAUAGGUGAUGGAGAUGCAAGUUCUCGUUGAGUCUCAUCACGCAUAACCAGUGAGUAAGCCUGGUUAACUGUAGGUAAAGGCUGCAUCAAAAGUACUUGAGAACGAACAUUAGAGUAAGUCUCAUUCAAACCCAUCAAAAAUUGAAAAAGACGUUAUUGUUGAAGGUGAGCAUUACGUCGAGUAAAAUCACAAUCGCAAGUAGGAGAAGGAACAAGAACAUCAUAUUCGUCCCACAGUAAUUGAAUCUUAAUAAAAUAAGUAGAAACAGAAGAAGUUCCUUGUGUAUGGGUAGUAAUGGCACGAUGAAGAUAGUAAAUACGAGAACCAUCAACCUUAUCAUAUCGUUCUUGAAGAUCCUUCCAAACAAUGGCAGCAUUGGAUGCGAAAACGAUACCUGCAGAUAAUUCUUGAGUAACAGUAUUGAGAAUCCAAGAAAGGACGAGAGCAUUACACCGAUCCCAAUGAGGCUUAAGAUCUUCAUCAAAGCUAUCACGAGAGCAUGACCCAUCAAUAAACCCUAACUUAUUCUUGGCAAGUAGUGCAAUCCGCAUAGACCUGCUUCAAACACAAUAAUUGUCAUUACCAGUAAGCUGAUGGGAAACUAAAAUCAUCCCUGGCAUAUCAGAAGGAUGCAAAAAAAGAGGAUGACUAAAUGGCAGAGAAAAAGAUGAAGGAUUAGCCAUUUGCAAAAACUGGAUCGAAGAGAAUCAAGAAAAUGAUAUUAGGCUGAUACCAUGUUAAGAAAAUGAAUGUAAGAUUAAUGAUGGAUACCUUCAUUCAAGUAGAAGAGUAGUAAAUAUAUACACAUGACUGUCACUAACCCUACUGCAGCCUAACUAACUAACCCUACUGCAGCCUAACUAACCCUACUGCUAAUUACACGUUUGUUAACUAAUAACUAACGGUACAUAAAUGCCACUAUAACAGACCUAUACUCUCAACACAUAGAUUGGGUUGUUUCUCAGAAACUUGUAGCCAUACUACGACUUUACACUGUACAUCAACUGCUCAAGCGUGUGGGACCUAAAACCUUCAAAUUAAUUGUACCACUUUAAGAGCCUCCAACUAAUCGAGAGCUACAUUUAAAGCUUUGGGUAACUACAGCAAUUAUCCCUUGAUUGAAAUUACAUUUCAAUCACUCUACUUUCAGAAAUUGCAUAAUUACCACUAAAGUUAUCCAAGUAUCACUCACCUAUUAACUUCCAUGGCAUGUUAAUUUAAAGGGUUAAUAAUAAAUUUAGCCCCUAAACUAUAUCUAAAAUAUCAAUUUAAAGCAAACGCGCAUUGUGUGUUUACUAGGCUACUUGUUAUGAUCUAUGGGUUUUUAUUCAAUUAAUAGAUGAAAUUGAAACAAAACGUGUCAUCUUUUUGUGGGCUUUCAACACUCAAAUUAAGGCUUCAAAUGAGAAAGGUCCUUAUAAUCCGGUUUAUAUAUUUAUGUAUUAUGUAAAUUAUGUAACUUAUGUAUUAUGUAAGUUAUGAAAGUUGUGUAUUACGUAAGUUAUGUAAGUUGUGUAUUAUGUAAGUUAUGUAAGUUAUGUAUUAUGUAAAUUAUGUGCGUUAUGUAAGUUAUAUAAGUUAUGUAUUAUGUAUUAUUUAUGUAUGUAAGUUAUGUAAGCUAUAAAUUUUAAAAAUAUAUAUUAUAAAUAUAUAUAAAUGUUAAUAAGUUAUGUAAGUUAUGUAUUAUUUAAGUGUAUCAAUUUUAUGCAUGUUAUUUAUAAUUAUUUAUAAAUUUCAAAAAUUUAUUACUAAUAAAUUUGAAAUAUAGGUUAUAUAUCCAUACCAUUAUGGGGUGAUAUAUAGUAAAUAUAGGUUUUAAUAUUUAAAAAAUAAUAUUUUUAAUAUUUUUAAAAUUUUAAAAUUUAUUAUUAAUAAAAUUGAAAUAUAGGUUAUAUAUCUAUAUUAAUAUAUGUUAUAUAUUUGAACUACUUUCCCCUUACAUUCCUUCUUUGUCCAUGACAAAUAAUGCAAAUUGUACAGCAUGUCAUUUGGCAAAACAAAAGAAAAUACCUUUUCCUGUAAGCACUUCUGUUUCCAGUAAAAUAUUUGAACUUGUUCAUAUUGAUAUUUGGGGCCCGACUGAUGUUGUUUCUAUCACUAGUCAUCGUUAUUUUCUAACCAUUGUUGAUGAUUUCAGUUGUUUUACUUGGAUCAUUCUAUUGAAAGCCAAAUCUAAAGUUCGUACUCAUAUUCAGAAUUUUUCCACACUUAUUGAAACUCAAUUUUCCUCCAAAAUUAAAGUCAUUCGAAUUGAUAAUGGUUGUGAGUUUGCUAUUCCAGCUUUUUAUGCUUCUAAAGGCAUUAUUCAUCAGACCUCAUGUGUUGAAACUCCACAACAAAACGGUCUUGUUGAACGUAAGCACCAACACAUUCUUAAUGUUUCACGAGCUCUCUUUUUUCAUUCUGGUCUACCUAAGCAUUUUUUGGGACAUGCUAUUCUUCAUUCUGUUUUUCUUAUUAAUCCCACCCCAACUCCUCUUUUGGCUAACCUUACUCCUUUCGACAAACUAUAUCAAACUAAGCCUACUUUUCAACAUCUACGUGUCUUUUGUCAUCUUUUUUUACUACAACCCUUACUGCUCAUCGUCACAAAUUUGAUCCUCGAGCACGUGAGUGUGUUUUUCUUGGAUUUCUACCAAAUGUUAAAGGUUAUAUUCUUUUUGACCUGUCAUCUCAUGUCAUCUUUGUCUCAAGAAAUGUCAUCUUUCAUGAGUCAGUUUUUCCUUUUUCUCAUCAACCAUCUCCUUCCUCCACCCCACAAUUGACCUUUGACCCCUCCAUUACUUAUGAUUUGCCACCUCAACCACAGGUUCCACCUCCUGCUCUCUUACAACCUUCUAGGCCACCUCAUAUUAGGAAACCACCUUCUUAUUUAGACGAAUAUCAUUAUUUUUUACGCAAGGCUGCUACCAAUCAUCUUCGAUGCCCCACACCCUUUACUCUUGCCAUUAGUGCUUCUUCUAUACCUACAACAUAUUUACAAGCUAGUAAAAUUUCCCAUUGGCGAAAAGCAAUGCAAGCUGAAAUUUCUGCUCUUGAACAAAAUAACACCUGGAUCAUUAUGGACUUACCUCCAAGCAAGACUGCAAUCGGUUGUAAAUGGGUUUAUCGAGUGAAAUAUCGAGCCGAUGGUUCUAUUGAACGUUACAAGGCUCGUUUGGUUGCAAAGGGGUUCACACAAAUCGAGGGUGUCGAUUAUUUUGAUACUUUUUCCCCUGUAGCCAAGCUUACCACCGUUCGCUUGUUACUUGAUAUCGCUGCUUCUAAAAAUUGGUUUUUGCACUAGCUUUACGUUAACAAUGCAUUUUUGCAUGGAGAUUUGACUGAAGAGGUUUAUAUGCUUCUACCUCCUGGUUUUGAUUCAUCAACUCUCAAUAAGGUCUGUAAGUUGCAAAAAUCCUUAUAUGGUCUAAAGCAAGCAAGUCGACAGUGGUUUGCUAAACUCAGAUCAACUCUUACUUCUCUUGGUUAUAAUCAAUCCAGUUUUGAUUUCUCCUUGUUCGUUAAAAAGGAUGACAUUUCUUUUACUACAUUAUUGGUUUAUAUUGAUGAUAUUAUUCUGGCUGGUGAUCAUUUAGAUGAAAUAGCAAGAGUUAAAGCCUUUUUGGAUUCUACAUUUAGCAUCAAAGUCUUGGGUGAUCUAAAGUAUUUUCUUGGCCUUGAGGUUGCUCACAGCUCUGUUGGUAUUCAUCUUUUUCAACGAAAAUAUGCUAUAGACAUACUGUCUGACUUUGGUUUCUCAGAUUGCAAGCCUGUUAAGACUCCAAUGGCCACCAAAAUUCCUUGAGAUGCCUCUGCAGAUUUGCUUCCUGACAACACUCUUUUCAGGAAACUUAUUGGUCGCCUCUUGUAUCUGGUUUCCACUAGACCUGAUCUUGCUUUCGCAAUUCAACAGUUGAGUCAAUUCUUGGACCGACCUACAGCCACUCAUCUACAAGCUGCUCAUCGUGCUCUUCGCUACCUGAAUGGCUGCCUUGAUUUUGGUCUCUUCUUUUCUGCUUCUUCAUCACCGGUACUGAAGGCUUUUAGUGAUUCCGAUGGGUUGGUUGUCCUCUCACACACCUUUCUGUGACUGGUUAUUUCCUAUUUUAUGGUGAUUCCCUUGUUAGUUGGAAAGCCAAGUAGCAAAGCACUAUGUCCUGUUCUUCUUCAAAGGCAGAAUAUCGUGCCCUUGCCUCUACUGUUUGUGAAAUUCAGUGGCUUCGAUUUCUUUUAUGUGAUUUGCACUUGUCUAUUUCUGGUCCUACUGCCUUGUUUUGUGACAACAAUUCCGUACUUCAGAUUGCUGCAAAUCUCAUGUUUCAUGAACGUACUAAACAUAUCGAAAUCGACUGUCAUCUUGUUCGUGAGAAGGUGCUGUCCGGUGUUGUUAAACUGCUUCCUUGUUCUUCCAAGGAUCAACUUGCUGAUAUCUUCACUAAAGCUCUUGCUGCUGUUCCUUUUCAGCUUAUAUUGUCCAAGCUGGGAUUGUUUCCCAUACACUCUCCAGCUUGAGGGGGGCUGUUAGUCAUAUAGUUUAAUUUAAUUUUAGUUAGUUAGUUAGCAGUUAUGUUUUGUUAUUUUCUUGCUGUCAUUUCUAAUUUGUAUAUAACAACACCUUUACAUCAAAUAUAUUUUGAGCAGUUUUGUUUUACUCUUAUUCUACAAAACUUAAAACCAUCUCUGAUAGCUCCAACUGAUAUUCUGGAUGACUGCUUUUGAACGCACAUUGACAAAAGAGCUGAACAGAUUCAUCUCUAUCUAAUUCCUCUACUUUAUAAAUGAGAUCAAUGCCAUAUCGGAUAAGCACUUUUUUAUCUCUAGCUGUAACGAUGACUCGACUUCCAGGGCUGAGCCGAUUGUUUCCUCCGAAUAAAUACUCGAGUUGGCUUGACUUUGACACAUCAUCACAAAUUAUUAGAACCUUAUUCCUGGAGAUCCUGUCCUUAAGAAAGCCUGAUCCGAUUGUGGGAGUUUUGAUAUAUAAAUUUUCAUCUUCUAAUAUGGUUGAAAAAAGUUUUUGACGCAAUUGAAAUAAUGGUCCUUGGUCAGCUGAUUCUCUCAUGUUUGCAAGAAAGAAGUAACUUUGGAAACCAUCUAAAACAUGGUAAAAAAUGGCUUCGGCAAGUGUAGUUUUGCCUGUACCUCCCAUGCCCCAAUUACCUAGAAUUUGAAAAUCUUGAAAUCCAUCUUGAAAUAAUGACAAAACUUUCUGCAUCCGACUCUCAAUUCCAACUAAACCCUCUAAAUUAGCGCUUGAGGUUCCAUGAUUCAAUUUCUUCAAUACAUCUUUGACACUUUUAUCUACCAAUGUUGAGUCAGGCCUAUGUAUUAGAUGAAGAAGCAAAUUAUGGGAGAACUAAAAAGAAUACAUAAAUAAAUAAAUAAACUUUAAUUAAAUUCAUUCAAAAAUAGAUCUAUAAUUCAAAGUUCAGCAUCUACAACCAUUUUUACAUACUCAUAUUACAACUUUUUUCUUUGAAAAUAAAUAUAUCAAUUGACUCACUGGACAGUAUAUUUUAUACAUGAGAGAAUCGUAGGAAGUUUGAGUUAAAGAAGAAAACAAAAAAGGCAGCAAAGAAGGACAUUAUUGAAUAUAAUGCUUCACAUGUUACUCAAAUUCUUCAUAUAUUUUCUACAAUAUGCGUCCACUCUCUAUCUCUACAAAACUAUGGCCCUUUUAAGAUAGGUAGCCCCUGUACUUUAUGAAAGUUAUGAAUUUAAUCCUUAUACUUUAAUUUGAUUAUUUUUAAUGUCUAUACUUUUCAAAUUAUAAAAUUUCUGUCCUCAUCAAAUGAUAAUUGUUAAAUUCAUUAAGUAAGUUCUGUCAUUUCCAAAUCGAAUGCAGCAAACAUAUUAUCAUACAUGUAUUGCCAUGUCAACUUGUAAUUUCCACAUAUUCCUCACUAAAAAUCUAGUCAAUGGUUAACAACUAUCAUUUGUGUCAAGAUUGUAAUUUCAAAUAAAUUUGAAAAGUAUAGGAAUUUAGAAUGAUCCAAUUGGAGAAUAUAGACUAAAUUUAUAAAUGCACUCAUAAUACAUGACUAGUAAUUGAAUUUAACUGCUAUUAUUUGGAUCAGGCCUAAAAUUUGAAAUUUUGAAAAGUAUAAAGACUAAAAUUGAUCAAAUUAAAGUAUAGAAACUAAAUCUACAACUUUUGCAAAAUCCAAGCACUAAUAUAAAAAAUAACCUUUUAAGAUAUGACAAUUUUAAAAAUUAUCCUUCAUGCCAAAUAUCCACCCUUAACUCGAAUAGGGAAAUAUGGAUGAACCACUGCACUUAAUACAUGUUUUAAUUCUUCUACGAUAAAAAAAUGGAUUGAAUGUAAAGAGAAGGACGUGAAAUUAGCGAAUCUCUUUGGAAUCCCAACCAGAUAAAUUCGCAGCAGACGUCAAAGCACUUCUCCAGGAAUUCACCUUUUCAACAUCAUGCUUGAAAUUUUCUUCAUGCUUUGCAAAUGCAUCUGCAACACUCCCUCUUUGUUUCCGUACAUCUGAGGGGUCUUCACCGUAAAAAACAGGAACAACACAUUUGUUGCAGUCCAUGAUCUUGGCCAGGUCAUCCAAGCACCAUUUGGAAGAAGCGUAGUCUUUGGAGAAAACAAUGACUGAAACCCUCGCUCCUUCAAUGGCCGUUAACGGUGCCUCUGAAAUUUCAUCUCCUCUUGGAAGCUUCUCGCUGUCUAUAAAAGUUUCGAUAUUCUUCCAACGCAAAUCUUUAUACAGAUGACCAGGGAUUCAAAUAGCGGGCCGAUAUCAGAAUAGCGGCCGUUAUAUAGCGGUAGCGGCACCGUCCGAAACCGCUUUUGCUGAAAAUAGCGGUGUGAAGCGGAGUCACGCCAAUAGCGGUGGGUCGCGGCCGCAACUUAACGGGUAACGGCCAAUUGCGGCAAUAACGGGCCGCUAUUCCCGUUAUUUUCCGUUACAGUAAAUUAAAAAAAAAAGUCAUCCCCUCAAACAAAAAUCGACAGAAACAGUGAAAAACAAAAGGGAAUAUAUUCCCCUACCUGCAAAGUGCAAAAUCAGAGAGCUUUCAAUAAUAAUAAAAAGUAAAAAAAGAAGUCAAAGAAACAAAAAAAGUAAUCAAAACUCAAAAGCAAUAGAAAAAGAAAUAUGAAAUUCUGUUUCUUAUAUAUGGGCAAACAACAAGCAGCAGAUGAAAGCAAGGAGCCGAGCCAAUUGCCGAGGACUUGAAUCUGAAAAGCAAACCCAUCUAUUUCCUCUUCGAAGUACUUCUAGGUUUCUUCCAGUUCUUUCUCAGCCCUUCUAAGUUCUAAGCCAGUAUUCCUUUACCUGGUUUUUCACACUUUCAAGUUUCAACAGCAGUAGAGAUUCGGCCAUUUUUGUUGAUAGUCUAAUGAGUUGGAGGCUUGGAGCCUUGGAGGCUACUGGUUAAGGUUAGGGAAUAGAAAGAAUCGUUUCAUUUUCUUUUAAUUUUUCUGUUUUUGUUUUGGUUUGUGGCUUUAUUGGCAAUUGACAUGCUGCUCUGUUUUGUUUCUUCUUUGACUCUUGUUUUACUCAUUAAUUAGGGGCAGCCACCGUCCAUUUUAACCACUAGAAAAUAGGCAUGUAAAUUGUGCUUUUAUCCACAUGUCCAUUGUUAAAAAUUGUCUUAAAAUAAUUAUUUGAAAAUUUCUUUAUUAAAUUUAAAUAUAUAUAUAUAAAUUUCUGGACACAAUUUUUAAUAUGACAUGGACUUUAUAUAUAAAGUUGUGUUCUCAUAUCAUAUUAAUAAAGAUUUAUAAGUGCUAGAAAACACUCUAAAAUAAUUAAAAGUGAAUUUUUAUAAUUAUAGUUAUAAUUACUAUGUUUUACAAUAAGUUGUGCGAAUUUGAAAAAAAUUCACGAUCGCGAUACCCGCAGUGACCGCAAUAGCGUCCGUUAUGUCCGCGACCGCGACAAACGCGACGCGACCGAAAACGCGACCGCGACCGCAAUUUAAAUCCCUGCAGAUGACUCACGAAACCAUCACAAGUAUCCUCGCCUCUGAAGCUAAGGAAAACAUCAUAUGUCCUUGCUUUGAUCAUAUCAGCAGCAGCAGCAGAAGAAGAAGAUGUUGAAGCAAGCAUAGAUUUGGUUGUUUCUCAGAAACUUAUAGCCAUACUACGACUUUACACUGUACAUCAACUGCUAAAGCGCGUGGGACCUAAAACCUUCAAAUUAAUUGUACCACUUUAAAAGCCUCCAACUAAUCGAGAGCUACAUUUAAAGCUUUGGGUAAACUACAGCAACUAUCCCUAACUUUUAAUUGAAAUUACAUUUCAAUCACUUUACUUUCAGAAAUUACAUAAUUACCACUAAAGUUAUCCAAGUAUCACUCACCUAUUAACUUCCAUGGCAUGUUAAUUUGAAAGGUUAAUAAUAAAUUUAGCCCUUAAACUAUAUCUAAAAUAUCAAUUUAAAGCAAACGCGCAUUGUGUGUUUACUAGGCUACUUGUCAUGAUCUAUGGGUUUUUAUUCAAUUAAUAGAUGAAAUUGAAACAAAACGUGUCAUCUUUUUGUGGGCUUUCAACACUCAAAUUAAUGCUUCAAAUGAGAAAGGUACUUAUAAUCCUGUUUAUAUAUUUAUGUAUUAUGUAAAUUAUGUAACUUAUGUAAUAUGUAAGUUAUGUAAGUUGUGUAUUAUGUAAGUUAUGUAAAUUGUGUAUUAUGUAAGUUAUGUGAGUUAUGUAUGUUGACACCAUUUUUUGGAUGAAAAUGGGGUCGACUUGGAUUUUGAAAAUGAAACGAAAUUGGGAGUCGCCACCAAUCCUUUUUUGAUGAGGUGUGAUCGGGUCACCUCAAAAAGUGGUUGUUUUUAAUAAAUGAUUUAAUUUUAUUAAAAUAACGAUUUUGGUCUACGAAAUUCAGAAAAAUGAGUUCGGGAGUCGGUUACGCACGAGGAAGGAUUAGCACCCUCGAUACGCCCAAAAUUGGUACCUAGUUGAUUAAUUAGUGUCUUAGUGUCGAAAAUUAAAAACUCGAAAAGAAUCUUAAAAAUAUGAUCCCUCCUUAUAUCGUGUUAUUUUAAAAAUACUCGAAUAAAUCAAAAUGGAAAAUGCCUCUUUAUCUCGAAGUAACAAGAUGUUACAUCCAGUAAGUUAGGACACGACACCUCGUAUUUUUGAGAGUAAACUUGCCUUUCAUUUUUUUAUUUAAACCUCAUUUAUUUUAAUUUUAAAAGGAUAUUCGAUUACUUAGAAUCAACGAGAAAAAUCGAAGCUCAGUAAGUUAGGGCACGAUUUUCUCGAAUUUUCUAAAUACGGAAUAUUGCCUUUACUUUCGAAAAAAUCCUCAUAUCGAGAAAACCACGUGUCAUAUCCAAUGCGUUAGGACACAACAUAUUGAAAUCCCGAUAAUGAGUUUUUAUUUAUGUUUUAUAUUAAAGAGCAUUCUCGAGCAUUUAGAUUCAACAGAAAAUUAGAACCCAGCACGUUAGGGCCCAAUUCUCUCGAAGAUCCCAAGUAUCGAGUAUUGCCUUUAUUUCCAAAAAUUUCCCUUUUUUACGAAUUUGGGUAAAAAUUGAUGUGACGGAAUAACAAUUACGAUAAUGCGAGUAAAAAUAAUACGAGCGAAAAUAACAAAAAUAAAUAUAUAAAAAAACAAUUAUAUACAAUAACAAGUAAAUAAACAAAAUAAAAAAACUAAAACAUUUUUUAAAAUAAUAAUGGACACAUAAAUAAAAAAAUAAACAUAAAGUAAAACAAUAAUAAUAAUAAAGAAAUGAAUAAAAUUAUAAAAGUUUUAAAAAUGUAUGUAUGAAUUUUAAAAAAUUUAAAAUACAAAAAAAAUUAUAUAGGUAUAUAUAUAAUGUAAAUAUGUAUGUCUAUACGUAUAUAUAUACGUGUAUGUAUAAGAAUUAUAAAAUAUGAAAACAUAAUUACAUAUAUAAAUAACAUGCGCAUGUAUGUAUAUAUAUUACAUAAAGACAAAAAAAAUAUAAAUAUGUAUAUUAUAAAAAUAAAACAACGUAAGUAUGUACAUACAUUUAUAAGUAUAUGAAUUAAAAUAUGUAAAUAUAUAAGUAUAUAUAUGCCUGUAGAAAAUAUGAAAUAUAAAAAAUAUAUAUUUAAAAUAAAUAAAGAAUAUGUACAUGUAUAUAUAAAUUAUAAUAAAAUAUUAGAAUAAAAAUGAAAUAAAAAUAUUAAAUAUGAAAAUAUAUAUAUGUAUACACGUACAUAAUAAAAAUAUAUACUAAUACAUAAUAAUAAUAAUAGUAAUACUAAUAAUACUAAUAAUAUAAAAAUAACAAGGAUAUUUAAUAAAGAUAUAAAAAUAAACGAAAAAAGGACUAAAAUUGAAUUAAAAACAAAGUUGUGGGGCAAAUGUGAAAGGAAAUAAAGAGAAAUGGGCUUAUUUGAGCGCGCACAAAACAUAGGGGGACCGAAACAACAAUUAUUCCAUUCCAUUAAAACGCAGCACAUUAGCGGGGACUAAAUCGAAAAGCGCGAGAAAUUAUGGGGCCAAAUUGGAAACAAGAAAAAUGACUUAAUUGCAAAACCUUGAAAAAGCGGAAGGACUGCGCGCAUAAAUAUCCCAUUCAAACGAAAACACGCGGAUCCUCUAGCGGGUCGGGUCGGAUGGGUCGGGCAAUGGUCAAAACGACGUCGUUUUGAGGCUUAAGUGUAGCCCCCAAAACGACGUCGUUUUGGAGGGCUAUAUAAGGCCUAAAAUAGCCAAAAAAAUCAUUUGGGGAGAGGGAAAAAAAAAAGAAGAGAGAGAGGGAAGAGAGAAGGGAGAGAGAAGGGAGGGGGGAAGGGGAAUCCGGCCAGGGGGCCGGUCACCGGACGGCCACCGGAGGCUCGCCGGCGCCGGCGCCGGCCACCGCACGCGGUGGCCGGAAAAGGUAAAAAAUAUUUUUUUUUCUUUUUUUCUUUUUUUUUUGCUUAAUAAUGCAUAUAUUUUUAUGUUUUAAUAUUUUUUAGUAUUUUUAUGUAAAAAAUAAACUCAAAACAGUAAAGAAAAAAAAAAAGAGUCACCUUAGGUUUUAGAUUUGAUUCUCCGAUUUGGUGUUAGAGCCCCUGAUAGUAUAUAUAUUUUCGAAUGGUUCUUGUAUUGAAUCUGUUAAUAUUGAAAGAAAAUCUUUUGUUUUCAUAGCAAAAAAUAAAAAAUCCCCCCCAAUAAUGGUGAGAUUUUCGGUUUUUUAUAACCGAUUACAAAUGUUUAUUUUCUAUUUGUUUAUUUCUACUUGGCUUCUUGCAGGUGGCCAUGGCCGACAGUGGCAUGGUGGUGUUCGGCGCAAGUGGGCAAGUGGGCAAGUGGGGGGUAGGUGGCUAGGGUUAGUGGGAUUAGGGUUUCUGAAUGCUGAGUUUAGGUUAAUGGGCUGGGGUAGUUGGGCUUCGGGUUUAUUGGGUUGCUAUUUGUAUUUUCUGGACAAUGGGCCCAGCAAAUUUGGGCUUCUACAAUGUAAGCUAUGUAUUAUGUAAGUUCUGUAAGUUCUGUAUUAUGUAAGUUAUGUAAGUUAUGUAAGUUAUGUGCGUUAUGUGCAUUAUAUAAGUUAUGUAUUAUGUAAGUUAUGUAAGUUCUGUAUUAUGUAAGUUAUGUAAGUUAUGUAUUAUGUAAGUUAUGUAAGUUAUAUAAGUUAUGUAUUAUGUAUUAUUUAUGUAUGUAAGUUAUGUAAGUUAUAAAUUUUAAAUAUAUAUAUAUUAUAAAUAUAUAUAAAUGUUAAUAAGUUAUGUAAGUUAUGUAUUAAAAAUUUAAAUUAUGUAAGUUAUGUAUUAUUUAAGUAUAUCAAUUUUAUGCAUGUUAUUUAUAAUUAUUUAAGAAUUUUAAAAAUUUAUUACUAAUAAAUUUGAAAUAUAGGUUAUAUAUCCAUACCAUUAUGGGGUGAUAUAUAGUAAAUAUAGGUUUUAAUAUUUAAAAAAUAAUAUUUAUAAUUAUUUUUAAAAUUUUAAAAUUUAUUAUUAAUAAAAUUGAAAUAUAGGUUAUAUAUCUAUAUUAAUAUAUGUUAUAUAUUAAAAAUAUAGAUUUUAAUAUUUAAGUUAUAAUAUUUAUGUCCCAAAUUGAUUAUUUCCAUGUUGUCCGGGUAGGGAUCAUAACUGUUACCUUAAGGUCCUUAAACCUUUAGACUUUCGGUUUUAUCUUACAAUUUAAUAACAAACAUGAUUGGGUUUUUUGCACGAAGGUAGCAAACCGAGCCUUAACUCCAUUGAUUAUUCAUAUUCUUAAGUUUGGCUGCUGCUUAAUUUUUUUUACAAGUUAAAUGCAUGUCAUUCGAUUGGAUUAAAAUCAUGUUUUUAUUUGAAGUUAGUUGUUGUAUAAUUCCAUGUCAUUCGGUUGAAUUUAGAUUUACAAGUUUCAGAGUCUAAAAAACGUCUUAACAGCAGCGUGUAAAUGCUAGAGAAACAAAACAUGCAUGGGGUGUUUCUCUUAUUGACAAAAGGGAAAGAAACAGAAAAUAGAAUGAAAAAAUGAGAAAGGUCUUUAUAAUCCGGUUUUGAAUGUUCAUCGUUCAUAUUUUUUGAGCGUGAUGUCCAUAAUCAUAUUUUGUAUUUUAUUAUCACUUAGAUUUUGUACCCUUAUUCAAAACAUGUUGUUCUUCGAUCUAUUGACUAUUGGUGGAUCGAUUGUUUUCAUAGCAAUAGACAUCCCGAUUUUGCCUUAGUUUUAUUUAAUGAUAUUACAAAGUGAAUUGGUAAGGAGCUUACUAGCACUCUCACCUUGCCCUUUGGCACAUUCUUGUCAUGCAUUUUUAAAUGUCCAAUCAUCUCAACCCAUGUUCAUCCUCCUAUGGUCGUUAAAUUUCAACCCAUUAGUUUUCAUGUUCUUCAUCGAGCUAGUUUUAAAUUAGUCUCUAUUAUCAGAACUUGGGUUAAGGAUGACAAUCAUAAUCCUCUAGAUGUUGACGAUGAAGAUUUUGAAGAAGCUCAUGGUGAUAUUCCUUUGGUCGAGCAGGCCCUCCACCGGCCUCUUCAUGUGCUCAACCUUUUGCUCCGAUUCACUCCGACGACAUGUCUGCAGUCAUUUUUGGUGUUAUUACUUCCUUAAGUGAGGAGUUUAGAGGUUUUCGCACCAAUGUAGAUGAUAGGCUGUAUAGGAUGGAAGACAAUAUUGUUUUUCUUAUGUCUCAAUUUCCUCCUCCUCCUCCUCCUCAAGAAGAUUAGGAUGCAUUUUCCUUUUUCAUGCAUUUAUCUUAUUUACAUUGCACAUUUUCCCAUUUCUAUGAUUAGAACUUAAUGUUUAUUUUGGUACAUGUAUGUUAGUUCUUUCUUUCACGUUUCUCAAUUUCCAUUAUUGAACUAACCAAGUUUCUCAUAAGUUUUAUUUGUUGAUUUUUGAUAUAAUAAAAAGCGGAGAAGAGAAGGAAAUGUAAAUUUUUGGUAUUUUGGUUGAUUAUGUUUAUGACUAAUCUUUUAAUGCCAACAUCAAAUGCUCAAAUUUUCUCUCAAAUCUUUAUUUCUAAAUUUUAUGAAAAUCAUUAUUCAAAAAAAUUAUAAAAAUCAAAGUCAUUUUAUUCAAUUUGAACUUUAAGAUGGGGAGUAACAAAUUCAAAAAUAAAUUUAUCAAAAUGUUUUGUUAUAUCAAAAAGGGGAGAUUGUUAACCUAAUUUUAUUUGAUAACUUAUUUUGAUAUAACAAAUAAAAAUAUUUUUGAAUGAAAUUUGUUUUUGGACAAAAAAUUUAUUAAGCUCAAAGCAUAAAUAUCAUUUCAAGACUUCCACACUCUUUGAAAAUACUUUGAACACUUAGAAAAUUUUGACAAGAUUCAAAAAUCGUUUUUAAACUCUUAAACUUGAUUAAAACAAUUUUUAUCAUUUUGAAAACUGCUCCCAAAACAGAAGUAUCAAUAUUUUCCUAAAAAAUAUCAAUACCCAUAUGAAUUUAUGGAUACUAUUAUUUUAUUUCGAUAUCAUUCUUAAUAAUAUUUUAAUUUUUUUAACAUUUUAAAUUUUAUUUAAUACUUUUAUAAAUUUUAAUAAUAUUUUACAUAUUUAUAAAAAUUUUAAAAAUUAAAAUUUUAAAAGAAUUAUUUUUAAAAAUUAAGCUUUAAAAUAAAUUAACCCUGGACAACUAUAUGUCCAACUUAAUUCCAAUAAUUUUUUUUUAAGUAUUCCUUUUAAUUUUUUAAUUUUCUUAAAUUUUAUAUUUUUAUGAUGUGAUGCAAUCUAAGCUACAUUUUUCGGGAUUAAAACUAUUAAAAAAAAAAAACCAAAACUGUCAACAUAAUGAAAUUUCAGUACUAAUAAAUUGAGAUAAAAAAAAACCAUAAAUAUUAACUUGUGAAGAAGUGACAAACUCAGGGGUUAAAUGAGUAUUUAAGCCUAUUUAUAUUUAAAUCAAUUUGCACAUGCAUUAAAUUUUUAAUUGUGUUUAAAUGAUAAGAAAAGAAAAAAAAAUAUAAAUUUUGAGCAAAAAAUAAACUUGAAUAAAAACCACUUACAAUUAUAAAUAAAACCAAUGAUAAAAUGUAUGAUGUUAAAUAUUUUGUAAACAUAUUUAGGCUCUGAAAUAUAGUAUAGAUCAUGAGGAUGAAGCAUCAUUGAAUCCUUAAUUUGGAAAUAAUAGAUGAAUUCCGCACUGUUUUACCUUGCAUUUAGACGAAUUCCACUCAUCAAGGUAGAAAUGAAAGGAAGCCACAUUGUAAAUACGAUUGUUUGAUGCCUUACUUCUAACAAACUCCCUAACAUUGAAACCAUCAUAUACGAGGAACACGUGAUCUGACAAUCGGCUUCCAAACGUAAAGGAGAAAGAACAGCUAAGGUCAUGAUUGUCGCCAUUACAGGAUUUUAGAUGACAUUCAGACGUAAAGCGAAACCCCAUACCAUUAUAAGAGUCUGGGAAAGAAACAGCAACGGAAGCAACGAAACAUGGAAAGUUUAUCCAGCUAUUAUUUGACCACCACUCUGAAGGCAAUUGGAUGUUUAUGGAAGAUCCUAAGCUUUUGAAAUCAAACCAUUCCGGGAUUUCACUUCCAGGGACGCAUGUAACAAUAAUUCUUCCAAGGGAUGCUUUUUUUAUUCUGUUUUUUCUUCGAGGGGGUGCCUGUUUGAUUACAAUUAUUGGAAACAUGAUUGAUUAUUCAGAACAUAGCUAUCUACCAGACUGAAGACAUAUAGAGAAGAAGAAACUGACCUGAUGAUGAUCUGUUAGUGCAGUGACCAUAUGCUCAAAUGGCAUCUCCAACUUUGGGGUUUCAGGACUCCUCACAGCUUUCUGAUCCAGUUGGAAACAGUUGGUAAAUAGCCAACCCAAGGAUUUACAAAACACUACUUGCUUCAAAAGAUUCUUUAUGCUUGAGACUUCCUCUACUGAAGUGCUGUCAUAUGCAUCUAUAUCAUUCCCCACACAUUUCUCACCCAGUUUGAAGCAGUUGCUAAAUUUCAACUGCAAGAAUCGAUUCGAUCCAUCCUCACAAAACAGUUCUUGCUCAAAAAGCUUCUUAAUGCUUGAGACAUCCUCUAAUGAAGUACAGUCAUGUGCAUCUAAAUAUACCAGGCUUGGUGGAAGCUCUGGUAAUGAUUUCAGUCUCUUGCAUUUCCUCAAGAUUAACUCUUCCAACAAGGGAAAUUGCUUGAUGGUUGUGGGCAAGUUCUCAAGAUUGCUUUCGGAUAAAUCUAACUUCUUUAACGAGGAUAACCAAGGGAGAUGUUUCUGCUUCACUGGUCUGUCUCCAAUGGCAGUAAACAAGUUUUCUACGACUAGAUUUGAACUACCACAAAGACUAAGAUGCAAAAGAGAUUUCAAUGUAUAAAGGCUGUCAGGAAGGCAAACAAGGUUUUCACAGUUGUUCAAUCUCAAAUACUUAAGACCGAUAAGAUUGUGAAUUGAAGAUGGUAAUUCCUUCAAAACUGUUCCACUUAAAUCAAGAUCUCUCAACCUCUUCAUGAUGUCCAAGAUUUCUGGGAAGGUCUCCAAUCUUGAGCAAUCUCCAAGAUUGAAUUUCUCAAGAGAUUUCAAUUUAUGAAUACCUGUGGGGAGAGAUUUAAGUCUCCUGCAACCCCGUAGGUCCAAUAAACGAAGAUUGGAGAGACAUUCGAUGGAGGAAGGAACUUCUUCAAUUGCAGUUCCACCUAACCAUAGCUCUGUUACAUUCGAUGAAACCUCUGGAAAACUAAACAGAUUUGAGCAGCCACUAAGAUGAAGUUUGGUGAGGGACGUGGCUUUAUAAAAGCUAGGCAGAGAUCUAAUACUUCUACAAUAACUGAAAUCCAAGAGAGUUAGCUUCUCCGGAUGUUGAAGGGAUGAAGGAAGCUCACGCAAGUUAAAACACCCGCAAAAGUUUAUCUUUUCAAGAUUUGUGGCGCUUGAGAGAUCUGGGAUUCUUACAAGGUUCUUAGAAUUCUUGAGAUUGAUCACCUUCAAAUCUACUAAAUCCUGCAACAUCAAAGUGUUUGAUAAAUUUCUAUACAUUGAAGAACAACAAUGCAACAGAUAUGACCAAAAUAAUCACCACAUUACAACAAAAGAUUGAACUAUCUGCAAAAUGGUAUAAUUAAGGUGUAAUUAGUUUGAGUAUUAGAACCAACAAGUUUGAGCUUCAUUCCAACUCAUCCCUCAAAUUUUGGUUCAAUCUAGAUUUGGUUCCCUUUUAAAAUUCAAGCUCAAUUUAAGAUAAAAUUGCCUUCAUAGCUCAUUAUUUUUCAACUUCAAAUAAUUAAAAUUUCAUAAAAAUAAUAAAUACUUAUUUUAUAACACGUGUCCCGCUCUUAAAUAAAAAUAAAAAUGAUCUUAUAUUAUAAUAAUUUCAAAUUAUAAAUAAAUAUAAUAUCAAUAUAAUAUUUUUUAUUUUAUUUUUCUAUAUGCGUUUAAAUUGUAAAUUAUUUUUUAUUAUAUUAUUUAUCAUAUAUUGUUAUUUUAUAAUUUUUUUCACCCUCAUCAUAAAUGGCUCAUAAUUAUAAAUUUCUUAAAAAAUUAAAUUAAUAUUAGACCGAUGAAUAAAAUUAUUCAAUCCAAAUAUAAAUGAAAUCGAUCAUCUAAAUAAACCUAAACUUGUUUAUAAUUUGGAAAAAAAUAUAUAGAAGAAUAAACCCAAAUUUAUCUUUAAAUUUGUUAAAUUUUAGUAUGUUAUCAAUCUUUUAUGUAAAAUUUUAUAAAUGUCAACUAUCAAAAUAUAUAUUUUUAAAAAUUAAGUGACCAGAAAUUUUUAAAAAUAAUAAUAAUAAAAGGUGAAUUUAAGUUGAAAGAAAAUCAUUUUUAACAUUGUCAUGUAUCUUGUGACAAUACCUUUUAGUACAUUUGAUGAUCAAAAUUUUAAUGUCCUUAGCUUUCGCUUAAAUGAAUUACUCUAAUAAUUCUUUUUUGGUGAAAAGAAUUACUCUAAUAAUUUAAUAUCAAAACAAACCUCAUUAAUAGUUGAGUAUCAUAUAUGUAAUUUAUUUAUUUUUAUUAAUCAUAUAAUAUUAAUUUAUCUAUUAUUCUUUAUACAUUAUCGUUUUAGAGUUAUUUUAUAUUUUCUGUUAGUUGCUAAUUAAAAAAUAACUGAUAAUUUUACUAUAAAAAAUUUGCUUUUAAAUAAAGACUAAAAUUUUUGCAUUUAAACAACUCUUUUCUUUACUCUAAUAAAAAAAGUCUAAUAAUUUUAAAUUUAAAUAAAUUAAUAAAAAUUAUAGAUUUAAAUUUGAUUAAUUUUAACAUAAACUGUAAACUCUAUUUUUAAUUAUUUAUUAGUUUAAGUAUAAAUAAAGUAACAAAAUUACAUAUAUAAUAUAAUAAAAUAUUUCAAGGAGUUUAUUAAUAUAAAGGUUUCUAAUUGGAUUCGAUUUUUCCCCUAACAUAACCCUAAUAAAUUAAUAUUAUAACUCCUCUUUUUGUUUUAAUGCAAAAAUAACUUAAACACUAUUCAUAUUGAAAAUGGUCUUUUUUCUUGAGCUAUUAUGAAAACAUUAUGACGUAGAUUGAUAUGUAAAGGAAACUUUAAUCAAGAAAUAGCAAUGGAAUUAGUUCCAAACAUGCUUGCAUCAAUCUACAGAACACCAUAGAUUUAUAUCAAAAGAAAAAAGAGUACCUGUUUUCCCUCCCAGAGUUGCUCCACAUGGCUGCAACUCAUAUCAAGUUCAACUAGGUACCUUGGAUGAAACGUGGAGGGCAAAGUUUUCAAAGGGUAUCCCUCCCAGCAAAGGUACCUUAAAUCGUCAGGAAGUGAUAAAAGCCCUUUCAAAAGUAAGGUUCUUCCACACGAAUGAUAGAAUUUGAGGAUUCUAAGCUUCCGCAUCUUCAUAAAUGCUACUGGUUCCAAUUCCAACUUUGCAAGUUUGGACAUAUCAAGUACAAUGCCUGUGAUCGUUUCCGUUCCCUAAACCCAAGAGCAGUUUAUGGAGUCAAAAUAUAGGCAAAAUAUUAAUUCAAGAUGUAUAAUUUAAUAAAAAGAUGUGUGUUCGAAUAAGACUAAAACAUGACCGUCAAACAUGGAUGUGUUCAGAGAAAAUGAACAAGGCCCUUACAUUGUUUUUUGUUAGCACAUCAUAGAUCUCUUCAGGAAUCCACAGCCUACUGCGAGUUUCAGGCUUUGAAGGUGAUUCAUAGUGAACAAUACUGCGACCCACAUGUUGCCAUAUAUCAUGCAUUUCUAUUUUAUUUUGUGAAAUAUAUAUAAGAGACUUAUCAAUGAGGUUUUCAAUUCUUGAAUAUGCAGAAGGAUAACAGGCCUCCAUGAUCCUUGUUACAAAGUCUCGAUCCUCCCCUUUAAAGAAACAAGCAAUAUCAAGAAAUAUGUCUUUCUCUACAGGAUUUAGUCCAUCAAAACUGCUUCUCAACAAUUUAAGUAUGUCUGGGUUAGGAAUCUGCUUUAGGUCUUUUACUGCACUUUCCUGGUAGUUUUUGUUCUUUCCAUAAAGAGAGGACCCGAAAAAUUUAAUAGCCAAGGGGUUUCCAUUAGCAAAACUUAAAACCAUCCGUGAUAGCCCCAACUGAUAUUUUAUAGGAUGAUUGCUUUUGAAGGCAUGUUGGCAAAAGAGCUGAAUAGAUUCAUAUUUAUUUAAUUUCUUCGCUUCAUAAAUGAGAUUCAUGCCACACUGGAAAAGCACUUGCUUAUUUCUAGUUGUAACAAUGACUAGACUUCCACGGCCGAACCGAUCGAUUCCUCCGAAUAAAAACUCGAAUUGGCUUAACUCUGACACAUCAUCAUAAACGACUAAAACCUUCUUUCUAGAAAGCAUGUCCUUAACAAAGCUUGGUAUGAUUGUGGGUGUUGAGAUAUCUAAAUUUUCGUCUUCCAGUAUAUCUGAAAGAAAUUUCUUACGCAAUUGGGAUAAAUUUCUUGAUUCUUCAUGUUCUCUCACGUUUGCCAGAAAGGAGUGGUUUUGGAAACCAUUUAAAACAUGGUAAAAAAUUGCUUCAGCAAGUUUAGUUUUGCCUAUACCUUGCAUACCCCAAAUACCUAGCUUUAGAAAAUCUCCAACCUGAAAUAAUGACACAAGUUGUUGCGUCCGCCGCUCAAUUCCAACUAAACCCUUUAAAUUAGCGCUUGAGCUUCUACAAUCCAGUUUCUUUAAUAUAUCUUUGACGAUUUUAUCUACCAGCGUUGAGUCAGGCCUAUAUAUUAAAUGAAGAAACAAAUUAUGGGAGAAAUAAAAAGGAAACAUAAGUACAUAAAUAAAAAUGAUAUAUAAGAGUAUUCAAUUGAUUAACAUUGUUCAAUGUAGAUGCUUGGCAUGUUAUUCAGUACCUGCCCCUCAACUCGAAUCUGGGUAACAUGAAUCACUGCUUGAAAACAAAGUCCAAGCUUAAUCUAUUUUCUUCCAAAUCAAUAUAUAUUUAAAGAAAAAAAAAGGGGGCGUAAAGAAAAUAAUAUAAUAAACUUGAUAUUUAAAGAAGAACAGAUAUUUUCAAUUUAUAUAUAUAUAUAUAGAUAUAUAUAUAUUUGCAUUUUCAUGUAUUAAAUAUUUUAUUCAUGAGGGAAUCGUAGGAAGGUGUAAAAAGUUUGAGUUAAAGAAGAAAAAAAGAAGGCAGAAUGGAAAAGGAAGGAAAGAAGAACAUUGUUGAAUAUAAAUGCUACAUGUUACUCAAAUUCUUCAUAUAUUUUCUACAAUAUGUGUCCGUUCUCCAUGUCCACAAAACUAUGGUCCUUUUCUACUAUUAGCCCUAUACUUUAUGAACCUUAUAGUUUUAAUCUCUAUACUUUAAUUUAGUUAUUUUUAAUCUCUAUACUUUUUAAAUUAUAAAAAUUCCAAUUCUCACAAUAUGAUAAUUGUUAAAUUCAUUAAUUAAGUUUUGUCAUUUUCAAAUAUAAUGCAACAAACCUAUCAUCAUAUAUGUAAUGUCAUACCAGCUUGUAAUUUCCACUAUAGAUUGACAACUAUCAUUUGCGUCAAGAUUGAAAUUUCAAAAUUUGAAAGUAUAAAGACUUAAAAUGAUCCAAUUGAAUAAUAUACUAAAUCUAGAACUGUAUGCAUAAUACAUGACUAGUAAUUGAGUUUAACUAAGGGUUCGUUUGUUUACAUGUAAAAGGUUUUAAAGUGAAUAUUUUUUAUAUUUUCCUGUGUUUGUUUGUUUUACAGAAAACAAUUUAGUCAAAAGAAAAUGACUUACAGGUCAACGUAAAAUAAGUUGUUUUCCCUGUAAAAUGACUUACCAUUUUGAAAAGACAUUUUCCAGAAAAUAUUAACUUUUCCAAAAAAGUAAAUCAUUUUUCAAAAAUUAUUUUUCGAAAGUUAUUUUCAGUGAAAUAAACAGAACCUAAACGAACAACUUAAUUGCUAUUGUUUGGGUCAAAACUAAAAUUUUAAAUUCUGAAAAAUAUAAGAACUAAAAUUGACCAAUUAAAAAACAUAAGAACUAGAAAUAAUUAAAUUAAAAUAUAGGAAUUAAAUCUACAAUUUUAUAAAGUAAUAGAAAAUUUUAACCUAAAAUUUUAAAAAUUAUCCUUCAUGUCAAAUAUCCGCCCUCAACUGGAACAGGGUAGUAUAGAUGGAUCACUGCAGUGAAUACAUAUUUUGAUUCUUGUACUACACAUUCAUUCUAUAUUCUAUGUUUACUUUAGCUUCUCCAAUAUCAUUUUAUCUAUCCCCUUAUCCUAUUUCACAUUUCUUUUUUAAAAAGUAUAUCAUCCAAAUAAUCAAAUGUGCAAAAAAAAGGAAAACUUUAAAAUUCUAAAAAUAGAUAAAAAUCCAAAAUUUUGAGAACUUUAAUUUAUAAAAAGAAUCGUAUAAAAUUAUUUUUGAAAUUCAAAAACUAAAAACAAAAAUGUAGAAUUUAUUUUGAAAUUAUUAAAAAAUCACAUGCAUAAAGUAAUUGGACAAUUAAAAUAUCCAGAUUCAAAUGAAGCUAUAUUUAUUUAUACAAAAUCAUUCUGAAUCUAAUUUUUUUAGUAAUUCUAUAAUUUUUUUUAAAAAUAAUAUAAGGAUUGAACCUCUCUUCUUCCAAAUCAAUUAAAAAAAAAAAAAAGAGGAUCGAAUGUAAAGAAAAGGAGUUGCAAUUACCGAGUGACUUGAGAAUCCCAACCAGAUAAAUCGGCAGCAGAAGUCAAAGCAGUUCUCCAGGAUUUCACCUUUUCAACAUCAUGCUUGAAAUUUUCUUCAUGCUUUGCAAAUGCAUCUGCAAAACUCCCUCUUUGUUUCCGUACAUCUGAGGGAUCUACACCGUAAAAUACAGGAACCACAAAAUAAUGCCCUUUCAACUUCUUGCAGUUCAUGAUCUUGACCACCUCGUCCAAGCACCAUCUUGAAGAAGCGUAGCCUUUGGAGAAAACAAUGACUGAAAUCCUCGAUCCUUGAAUGGCCGUCAACAGUGACUCUGAAAUUUCAUCUCCUCUUUGAAGCUUCUCGCUGUCUAUAAAAGUUGCGAUAUUCUUUCGACACAAAUCCUUAUACAGAUGACUUACGAAACUGCAACGAGUAUCCUCGCCUCUGAAGCUAAGGAAAACAUCGCAUGUCCUUUCUUUGUUCGUAUCUGCAGCAGCAGAAGAAGAAGGUGUUGAAGGAAGCAUAUUGGUGUUCCGCCGGAUUUGAUCAAAGAUUUUUGGAUUCUGAGUAAAACUAUUGUUUUUGAAGUCAACUACGCUUACAUCAACUGCAAAAGCGUGUGGAACCAUAGACAUUUGGAGAUAAUUGGACGACUUUUAAGAGCCUCCGACAAAUUGGAAGCUGAGUCUUUGGAAACCAUUUAUAUUCUACUAAUGUUUUAACCCUUCCUCCCAAGUUAAAAGUAAAAAUAUAUACAUACAACUUUUAAAAUUUUAUAUUAUUUUUAUUUCGAAUGAUAUUUAAAAAUUAUAAAUAGAGUCAACAAAAAAUUUUAAAUGCCUAAAUCAGUUCUAAAAAAUAUAUAUUUUUAUUAAUGAAUUGAUUUAUUAAUUUAUAAUAAUUUUUAUUUUAAUAUCUCGACUCCUUUUUAAUUUUAUUCUUAAUUUUUCUUGUGUUAAUUUUAUUUACAUAUUAUAUUUAUCGUAUAAUUUUUUAUAUUAAAAUGUUUAUUUGUUGUAGAGAUGUGGAUUGUCACAUUGAUGUUACAUUAGUAAUUAAUUAAGUUUUUAAAAUAUUAAAAAAAUAUUUUUUAAAAGUAAAAACAAAAAUUAUAAAAAAUAUUUUAAAAUUUUAUUAAUAAAUGUUAGUUUUUUUUUAUCUAUUUUAGAAUGAUUUGAUAAAAAUAAAAAUUUAAGAUUUAUGGCAAAUAUAUAUUUUGAUUAAUGAAUUUGUUUAUUUCAUAAUAAUUCCUAUUUUAGCAUUUGGACUCCAUUUCAAUUUUAUUCUUAAAUUUGUCUAUAUUAAUUUCAUUUGCAAAUUAUAUUUAUCACAUAAUGUUUAUUUAUUAUAUACGUCAUAUUAAAUAAUUUUUUAUAUUAUAUAAAAUAAAAUUAUUUUUUAUAUAUUUGUUAUUUUUUCUUAUGGCAUAUAUCUAAAAUCAUUCUAAUUUUUCCAACCGAAAGAUAAGCAUCCACCACUACAGAAAGAGACGAAAGAGCAAUAAUUGCUUUAUACUUUUUUCUUUUUUAAAGAGUUUCAUGGAAAUAAGGUAGUGGGAUAUUCGGCCGAUAUGUUUGAAUUGAUAUGAAAUAAUGUAAAAUCAACGUUGACUCAAUUACCUAAAUUCUUAUUUUGGCAAUAAAAAUAUUUUAUUGUUAUGAAAUAAAUAAAAGAGAAAGUAAAACAACCAUAAAUAGAAAAAUAAAUGAGAACAUAUAAAUUUUAUUCGUCACCGAAAUGUUUAUUAUGAUUCUUCAAAGUUUAUAUUUAUAGACAUAAUAUAUAUAUAUAUAUUUAAACAAAACAAAACUUUACUUCUAAUGAUUAUUAGAAUACUAAAGUAUAUCAAACUUAUCUUGAUGUUAUUAAUAUUCACUUAAUAAUAAAAUAUUCAUAACGCUUUCUGUUUGAUGUCUAUUGGUAGAUAAUGUGUCUUAUUAGAAUCUUACUAACAUAAAAAUCCUAUGGAAAAAAUUUUCUAAUGGAGGAAAAAAAGUACACAUAUUUAUAAUAUGCAUAAUAUGCAUAACAUAUUUAUAAAAUUUCCUAAUGGAGAAAAACCUUAUCAGUGGAACAAAACCUCGGUUAAUGGGAAAAUAGUACAACACGUAUUUACUCCCCCUCUUGACAUCACAUAAUAUCUCGUCUUCUACGUAAAUGUUAGUUUUUCAAAUGAUCACUUACACGUAUUUGCUAAGCAUCUAUACCACCAUUCUUUUGAAAGUCAUCAAUGAAAUUUUUUGGGGGGGAAAUAUGUUUUGAUCUCCUCAAUAGUUUUCAACAAUAAUCAUAACAAAACUUUGAUCAUGAUAAUUUCAUACUAAUACAUAUGUUCAAAUCAAUUCAUAUAUAUUUUUGGGGAAUUUUUAUAUGCUUCCGGCAUUCUAAAUCCUUCAAGGAUUUAAAUACAAACUUCCACUAUAUAAGUGAUUUAUAUAAAGAUUGUAACAACAAUCAUAAGAAACUUGUCAAAUCUUUCAUGAACUAUCAAACUAAUAAUAUAUCUAAAGGUUAUUGCAUUUAUAACAAAAUAAUAUUAUAUUUUCUCAUAAUCACUGCCAAGACUUAGCAAAAAAACUAUAUUUUAUUAUUUCAUUUUUGCAAAACUACUCAUUUAAUUAUACUUUUAGAUGCUUAAACUAUUGGUCCAGAAACUUCACAAAUUUAAUUAUACUUUAACUGUGUCUUUCCGUUUUAGUCAAUCUUUUCCAUGUCUAUAUUUCUUGACAAAUUUAUUCAAGAUCCUCAUUUUUUUUUCAUCAUUUCAAUAAUAAUAUUGCAUACAAAAUUGUUGUCGAUAACUUUUAUUUUCACAGUUCCAUAUUUUCUUGUAUUGACAUAACUUAUUGAGAUAUUUUUAUUUUCACUAUUUUCACUUUCAAUUUCAAGUACUUGAAAUUAUUUUAGAAUUUUAAUAAUUAGUUAUGACUUUGAUCUCUUCAAAAACAUCCACCUCCACUAUAUAACCAUCUAUAUUUAUUGUUUUUUACGAGAAUUUUCUAUAUAUUUAAAAAAAUUAAAAAGUCCUAAAAAAUAUACAAUUCAAUUUAUUUGUAUUUGAAUUCAUGUUAAAAUAACAACAAUACUAAUUCAAUUAAAGUUGAAUCCCCAGCUGUAAUCUUUUUUUCCAAUCAAUUGGUUGGAAUUGGUGUUCACAAUAAAAGUAAGGGUAAAUUACACCAACAGUCAAUCAACUUUCGGGUAGCUGACAAAAUAGUCACCUAGGUCUCAUUUCAAUCACUAAACUUUGGAAAAGUGACAAAAUAGUCACUGAUUAACAAUUUCUGUUAGUGUGUUAAUGGGACCGCUGAUGUGGCAAGUUAACCAACUGAUAUGACCAGUUAACUUGCCACGUUGGUGAAGCAGCUGAUGGGUCUUGGUCUGAGGCGGGUUUAGGGGAAAAUUUGAAGGGUUAUGUUGGUUUAGAGUAAAAAAAUUAGAAAUUGAUUCUGAUUAAGGGGAUUUGGGGGAAAAAAAGAAAUCGAUUUGGGAAAAUUUUGAUUGUGAUUUGGGUUGGUUUGGGUUUGAAACUGAUUUGGGAAUCGAUUAAGAAGGUUGGUUUAGGGUUAGAAAUCGAUUCAAUAAUUGAUUAAUAGGAUAUAGGGUUAGAAAAUGAUUGGUUUUUUCGUUUAGGGAGAAAAGAAGACGAAACCAGAAACCUAUCAGUGUUUUUUAUUCUCAGCAAAAAUGGUUAAUAGAAGAGAAGCUACCAAUGUUGUUACAUAUACUGUAACGGGUAAGUUAGAAGCAUUUAGUUUUUUAUUUUUUGAAUUUAAGGUUAUUUCGAUUUAGGGUUCUUUUGGGUUAUUUCGAUUUUGAUUUUGAUUUUGAUUUUGAUUUUGAUUUUGAUUUUGAUUUUGAUUUUGAUUUAGAUUUUGAUUUUGAUUUAGGGUUAUUUCAAUUUCGAUUUUAUUUGUUAUUAAUGUGCCUGAAAGAUUAAGGUUUGGUUAUUAAAGUGAAUGACAGAUAAUAUGUAUGGUAUGCCAUAUGCAUGAUGUUUAUUGUUUAUAUCAAACUGAUGUUUGUUGUUUGUAUCUGCCAUUGUAUGAAUGACAUUAUCAAACUGAUGUUUAUUGUUUGUAUCUGCCAUUGUUUGUAUCCUAGCUGCUAUAUUGUAUGUGGCAAUAUCAGAUUUGUUAUUUACCUUCUAUAUUGUUUUGGUUAUUGUCUGUCAUUGCCUAGGUGUAGGGUUAAAGUAUUUGGUUAUUGUCUGCCAUGUGCAUGACAGAAAUGGUUGUGUUUGUAUUAAAUUAUUUUUGUAUUAGUUAUUGUCUGAAAAAAAUGGUUAAAAUGUUUGCCUAUGUUGUCUGUCCUUAUUGAUGAGUAAUUUGUUUGGAAAAUUUAAUUGAUGACAAUUUUAAUGAGAAUGAAGAAGAAAUGUCUGGUAGUGAUGUGUUUAAUAGUGAUUUGUCUUGUAGUGAUGCAUCUGAAAGUGAUGUGUCUAAUAGGAUAAGAGUUAAUUUAGAUGGUUUAAAAAUGGAUGAUAUAGAAGUAGGUGAACUGUGUGAUAGUGAUGAUUCUGGGAGGUUAGAUAGUGCAUUUGAAUAUGACUCAGAUGACCAAUAUUGGCUCGAGUUCAACCUAGAGAAUGACAUGAGUAAUUCUAGACUUAAGGUUGAAAUGUUAUUUAAAUUUAAAGAUAGUUUAAAAGAAGCUGCCAAGCAGUAUGGUAGGUUGAAUAGUUAUUUUAUUAUGUUUCCCAAAAAUGAUCUAAAAAGGUUAAAGACAGUCUGCAGUGGAAAAUGUUCUUGGUUCAUAUGGGCCUCUAGACUAAAUCCUAAUGACCCUACUGACUAGACUUGGCAAAUUAAGAGUUCAAACCCUCACCAUACUUGUUCUAAAGUCUAUAAAAAUAAGAAUGUAACCUCGACUUAGAUAGAUGAACAUUGUCAAAACCAUUUUUUUAUUUUGAAAAAACAGGGAUCGACUUUGAGAAUGAAAAUGGAGUCGCCACCGACCUUUUAUUGAGGUGUGAUCGGCUCACAUUGAAAACGAUUUUGGUCUGCAAAAUUUGAGAAAAUAGGUUCGGGAGUCGGUUAUGCACGAGGAAGGGUUAGCACCCUCGUAACGCCCAAAAUUGGUACCGAAUCGAUUGUUUUAAUGUCUUAGUUUCGAAAACUUGAAAAGAUUUUAAAAUACGAUCCUUUUAACUUGAAUAAACGAAUUGGAUGGCAAGACAUACUCAUUUCAAAGAAAUAACUGUCACACUCAGUGAGUUAGGGUGCAACUGUUUAAUCUUUAAAACUAAGUUUAUCUUUUUAAAUUUUAAAAUUCAUGCAUUUUGAAAAGGAUAUUUGGUUAUUUGGGUCAAACAAGAAAUCAGAAUCCAGUAAGUUAGGGUUCAAUUUCUCAAAAUUCCUAAACACCGAAUAUUACCUUUAUUUAAAAAAUCCUUAAUUCGAGGUAGCAAAAUGUCAUAUCCAGUGAGUUAGGAUCCAACAUUUUGAAAUCCCGAAAAACUUUAUUUAACAUUUGUUCGGUUUUAUCACAAAAGAAAUACUUGGCUAUUUAAAUUCGUCGAAAAGAAUUGAAGCCUAAUAAGCUAGGGCACAAUACUCUCGAGAAUCGUGAACACCGAGCAUUUUUUAAAAUUUACAAAAUAGAAUGAUUUUUGUGCUUCAAUGAAAGAUAAUUUUUAAAAUAAAUGUAGUGUAAUUGAAUGGUAAUGUACACCGUAAAGGAUAAUUUGUAAAUAACACACGCCAAUAAAUAACAAAUAAUCAAUAUAUAAAUGUGAACAAGUAAUACAAUGUGCAUAAUAACAAUGCUAACAUUUAAGAGUUAAUGAAUUAAAAAAAAGUCAAGGCACUAAGUGAAUUAACACAUACGAAAUUGUACAAGUUUUAAAAUAACUAAUAAAAAAAAUACAAUCGGUCAAUCAUAUGUUACAAUAAAAUUAAAAAAAAAAUGUAUAUAAGAAUUUUUUAAAAAAUGAAUCCAAGGAUGAAAUAAAAAAUAAACGCUGUAAAAAAAAUAGAAGUAUAAGAAUAAGAUUUUUUAUAUGAAAUAUAUAAAACAAUAUACAUGUUAACCUAAAUGAAUGUUAAAUGAAAAGCAUAAUAAUAACAUAAACGAUAAUAUGUAUACACAAUAAUAUUAACACAAAAAAAUGAAAAAAAAAUAAAGUAUGUAAAAUAAGGUUUAAAGAAAAAGAAAAAUUAUAUGUAUAAAUUAGUUUAAAAACAUAUAAACAUAAUUUUAUAAAAAAAAUAAAGAUUAAUAGUUAUAAUGAUGCGAAUUCAAUAAUAUAAUCAUAAAAUAAAGAUAACUUAAUAAAAACUAUGUAUAUAUAAUGGUAUAAUAUAAAAGUAUUAUCAUAUAGGUUUUAAAAGUAUAAAAAUAUAAAAGAGAAUUUUAAAAAAAUAUUAUAGAACUACAGAAAGGAUACAAAUUAUAUUAGGUUAAUAAAAAAAAUUAUUAAAUUUAAGUAAUAAAACUUGAAAACUUAAAAUGAUAUUAUAUGAAAAAUUUUAUAUAAGAUUAAUAGUAAAUUUAGAAUAAUUAAUGAUAAAUUAUAAAUAAUAACACAUGAAGAAUUAAAAAUAAUACAUAAAAGAAACAUUUAAAAUAAUAAUACAAUAGAUUUAAGCAAUAUCAACAAUAAAAUUAUAAAAGUAAGUUUAAUUAGAAAUUAUACUAGACUUAAAACUAAAUAUAUUAAAAAAAACAGAAUAAGAAUAAGAAGAAAAGAAAAUAUAUAUAUAUUUAACCGAGUUUUUUAUUUUUUUUUUUAAAAACUAAAAUAAGGAUUAAAUCGGAUUUAGAAUAAAAUUAUAAAAAAAUGAAAAUAAAAUAAAAUUGAGCGUCAAAAUGAAACGUGCGUAUUUCAUAAGGGACUAAAUGGGAAAUAUUCCCUAUCCCUCAAAACGCAUCAGAACAGUGGGGGCCAAAAUCAAAUAAAACAAAAUGUUAGGCUAGAUUUAAAAAAACUAAAAUGGACUAAUUUGAAAUGCAUUGUAAAAGUGGAGGGAUCAUUUGUGAAAAUUGACCGUAGAAACAAAAAGCGCGGAUCGGAGAUUGAAUCGGGUCGGGUAAUCGGGUCAUUGGCCCUUAAACGGCGUCGUUUUGGAGCCAUUGAAGCAGGCCCUAGACGGCGUCGUUUCUUUCGCUAUACAAAACCUAUUUUGAAACCCUAAGUUAGCAGAAUCAACAAAAUCAAACGCCUCUGCCUCAAAACCAUGCUCUCAAACUGGCCGUUCUAAGAUCCUUCACUCGAUCUCCGAUUGCAAUGGAGUAAGCAAGGAAUCGAUCGCCAAGUAAACUCUUCGUUUUCUCACCUCUCUUUCUCUUUUAUUUUAGUACCAUUAAUGAACAAAAUCAGUAAAGAAAAAAACAAAGAAAAGCGAGUAAAAGUUUAAAAUCACCUUUUGAAUACCAGAUUUCCUUUUGAUCUCCUUGAAUCUUUUUUUGUUUUUGUAUUCAAAUAUCCGUGCGUGUAAUCGUUUACAGUGCUUUUCUCCCCUUUUUAUAGCCAGAGAUAAAAUAAAAUAAAAUAAAAAUACAAUCAAAAUAAUAAAAUUCUAGUUUGUUUUUGCUAUUAUUUUUCUGCUAUUGCGUUUGUUUUCUUUGCGGUUAUUCCCUUUUUGCUCGCUGUUUAUUUUCUAUUUUUUUCUUUUUCUUUUUCUUUUUUCGUUGCUGGUUCGUUUGUUGCAUUGCAGGAGCCAGCUGGAGAUGGAGGCGCACAUGUGGUGGUGGCGCAGCAUGCGCGGAGGAAACGAUUGGUGGCUUCGGCGCGACGCAUGGGAACCUGGUUGCUGCACGGAAAGGUUUCUGGAGGCUUCAGAAGAAUGGGCCACUUCGAAUUGGGCCACUGUAAUUGGGUUUCGGGUUUAAUUGGACUGCUUGGGCUUCUGCUUGUUGUAAUCGGGUUUGGGGUUGAGUUGAUGUAUUUUGGGUUUGGGUUUUAGAUUUAGGCCUGCUGUUUGUAAUAAAAACUGGACAUUUUGUUUUUAUUCUAUUUAGUUUUUAUAUUUCAUUUUAAUUUGGUAUUUAUUUAUCUAUAAUUUUGGGCCUGAGCUAAAAUUGAGUAUUACAAACAUUAUAAAGAAAAAUUUAUUGUUGAUCCUGAUUAUUCUCUGAAGUCAUGACAACAAGAUGUUAAAAGAGAUUUAUGUUGCAUAAUCUCACUAACCAAAUGUAGGAGGGCUAAAUUU
rnacentral:lncRNA from 1 species